GUUCAAUUACCUUAUUCUUUAUAUGAAAUGGAGAAAGAGUCAUAUUUCUAAUUCACCUAUAGAUCAAAAACUUAAGUUAGUAAGUAAAAACAAACUUCAUAUGUAUCUAAUACUCUCCCACUCGUGGAAAGAUGAAAAAGAUACGAUAGUAUGUAAGUUUGGAGCACUAGACCUUAUGAUUGUUCGGCGAUUUUACUUUAAUAACAAUUUAAAUCAUAAAUUUAAUAUUAUAUCAAAACUUCAACAUUUUUACAACAAUAACUUCACUGAAAAAACGUAAGAAUAGGUAGAAGCUCGGUUUCAUUCCAGUUUUAAGAGUUAAUGUUGAAUUUUGCUUAAUGAAAAGAUAAUCAAACAAAAAAAGAAGUUUUUUUCUUUUUUGCUUUUUAUUUUGAAGAUAUAUAUAUAUAUAUAUAUAUAUAUAUAUAUAUAUAUAUAUAUAUAUAUAUAUAUGUAUCUAAUAAUUUAAAUUAGGGUUGAAAGGAGAGACAAUGACAAGACCAGAAAGCCAUGAUUUUGAAAAGAUUAAGGAAAAUUACAAAGUGUGUUUAGUCAAAAUCAUAUACUUUAUGUUAAACCAACCCACUGCAUAUAAUUAUAAUUAUAUGUUACUUUCCAAUUUCAAUCACAAUCCAAAAACACCACUCAACUCAAUCUUAUGAAUCUCUUUUUCCCUAACUAAAACAAUACAAAAUUAAAUAUACACUCUUUUUUAGAAUGAGAUCACAAUGUACAACAUGUCAACUUCAGCAACUCUUUAUUUUUGCAACAAGAUAAGACCAUUGUGAACGCACAUUUUAUCUAAUAUUAAGUGUGUAUUGAACUUUAGUGAUAACUCGUUCCUAUCGUUUUGAAGAUAGGACGACAAUCUCUUUUUUUAGUUCAAUACAUGUAAGGUGGCCUACGGCAUUUAAAAUAAAAUAAGAUCCAUAUUGGAUAUAGAUCAAAUGCGUGCAUCAAAAUAUGCUAUUUCAUGUAAAGUUCAAAAAUCUUAUAAGAUAGGGAAAAUGUGGAUAUGGCUUAACCGAAGAAAAAGUGUAAACCUCUUUUAUAAACGUGUCGAUGAAGUGGGUAGAGAUCGCAGUCAUUAUCGUAAUGUUGUUAUGUAGGAAACAUUUUUAUGAAUAUUUAAAUUCUAUCCAAAUAAGUUUUUAUUUGUCUUUGACUUUCUUUUGUUAUGUAUUUUACUAUGUUAAUAGAACGAUCACUUACCUUGAUAUAGUAAAUUACGAAGACUUUAGUGUUAAAUCAUUUUCUUCGAAUUGCUCUUCCAAGAUUAACAAAACAUCAUUUUUAGAUCAUAAGUACACUCAUAAAAAAAGAAAGAUUGGAAUCAAUUUUUUUACCCAAUCGCUAGAGAAAUGGAAAAAUAGACAACAGGCAAAUAUGAAAAUAAUGCUCGUUUUUUAAGAACCCAAACAAACCAUUUUAUAAAAAACCUCAAAAGAUCAAAAUGUUUUCGAGAUCUACCUUAAAUAAAUGAGUUCUUGCAAAAAUAGCAAAAAAAUUAUGAUAAUAGAACUCAUAUCACUACAUUUUUUUUAAUUGUAAAAGUAGGCAAAUUUAAAAGUCAAUAAUUUUUUGCUCACCCUCCAAUAAUCAUCUGAUAGUUGACUGAUAUCAUUAAUUAUUUGUCAUAUUUUUCAUAUUCGCAAUAUAUGCAAAAAAAAAAAAUGUCAUGGAUUGUUUUUUUCUAAAUGGUUUUAUCAUGUAAUACAAUUUCCCUUGAACAAAAAAAACAAAAAACAAAAAUGUUUUAGGAAUUAGACAAAAAAAAAAAAGUAUAUGGUGGUGAAAUAGUUGUUAGAAAUGACUAUCAUCCUAAUGAAUCAUGGUUAAUGUUUAAAAAAAUAUAUGAAAAAUUAUUAUUAUUAUUUGAUGGUUACAAAUAUUGUAACUAUUUAAUGGUAAUAAUGUUUUGUUUUAAUUCACUAACAAAUCUAAAAUUAAAUUUAGAUCUAAACCCUCGUUUUUCUUUUUCUAUAUAAAGAUCUCGAUGUUGGGGGUUCUUCAUCUUCCCUUUCAAACUUUUGAUUUUUUCUCAUAACAAUAGUUUUCUUGACUUCAUUCCUUAUUUCGACGACUGCAUGCUUGAGUUGAAAAGUUGUGUUAACCUUGGAAAGCAACCGAUAUAUGUGAUUUAGCACCGAUAUCACAAUAAAUUUUGCUUUUAUGGCAGUGAUUCGUCGUGACACAACAACAAUUAACAUUUGUUUCCUACAAUAGUCAACUACAUUAUAACGCUUCGAGUUUAGGAAGGGGACAUGAAUGAACAAGUAUUACAUAUGAAUAAGAGGGAUCGUGAGGACAUGAAAUGAGUACAAGAAAGUAAUGUUAAGAAAGACUUAAAAAGAAUUAAAAGUUACUACCUAUACCAACAAGGUACAUAUUUCUAUUCGGUAGCUCAAUCAUAAGAACUACAAAGUUAAGCGUGCUAUGCUUGGAGCAAUUUUAUGUUGGAUGACCAUCUUGGAGAUUUUUCUAGAAUGUAUGUGAGUGAGGACAAAGCAUGCUAAAAUAACUCAUGUUAGUUUGUGGGGAGAACUUUAAAGAUGAUGUUGUCAGGUCGUAAGGGAAUGCCGGGGAUCCAAAUCCUGGGCUUGAAGCGUUACCUUCACCUACAAGCUUAAGCUUUUGGGUUGAAUUGGUAAUUUAAGAUGGUAUUAGAGCACCCUAUGUUAUUGUUUUUUCUUCAAUUAAUACUAAUUUCCACUUGUUGGAUCUUUCUUCAAUCAAAGAGACACACGUGAAAGAAUGGUAGAUAUAUAAUAUUAAAUUCACCUUCGCCUUCUAGCUUAAGUAUUAGUGUUGAAUUGAUAAUGUAAUAAUAAAGACGUGUUGAGGCUUUAAUGGAAGGGACCAUCGUAAGCUGUUGUCUAGCAAGAAGAAGAAGAAGAAGAAGAAGGGCGUGGCAAUAUGUAUAUCGUACUGCCAUUGACAAAAUAAAUUCCCACGGUUUUGUGUAGAAACAUGAUAGCCAUAAUUAUCAUAGGGUCGUUUAUUCUCUUUUGCUUACUUCCAAUUAUUUCUUUUAGUAGUCAGAUGCCAAUUAGUGCAUCCAUUACUUUUAUCAACUAGUUUACUGUAUCUUAACUCUUACAAAUAAGUAAAUAUUGAAUAUGAUCUAUUGAUAACGAAAUAAGAUCACAAACAAAACUUAUAAUGGAUCUUCUAAACUAAUUGGUUUGUUACUUACGUUGAUUAGGAUGAUUCUAUUAUUGAAAAUAUGGAGUAGAAAUUCAUAAUAUUUUUAAAGAUGAUUUCUCCUUCAUGGUUAACUAAUGUUUAAUAUGAUAUAUCAAAGAACAUAGCUGAAUGAGAUCUUCUAUCUAAAAAGAGAUACAAUUAAAGAGAAGAGGGAAGAGGGAAGAGGGAAGAUGGAAGAUGGGAGAGACACCAGUCCGACAUAAUUAAUCUCUCCUCUCCAGAUUGCAUCCAUUCAAAUACACAUCUUGUUUCAGUAUCAUUGUACCGUCUUCAUGGAGUCCCUCCCAUCCCUCUCUUAAUCACUUAUUUAUAUUUUUUCACUAUAAGUCUAUGCAUAUCUAUGGUAUCAUAUCAAAAAGAAUUUAUGAUAUGAAAUGGCCAAAAAGUAAGCCAUUAAAAAUAUACAAAGUAUUAAAAUGGUACUUAAUCACGUUAUUCUUUUUUGUCGUUAACAUAUAAAACUAUAUAUGCUCACCUUAGCCAUUAAAGAAAUUUCCUAUUAAUUAGCGAGAGACAAAUAGUUAACUAAGUGAACUUUAUCAAAUAAAAGACAUAUUAUAUGUUAAAAUACCAUAUUAAACUUUGCAUGUCCAUCAUAAUAAUAUAAUUAAUAAAGAUCACUAACAUUUAUAUCACUAUCCCCCUUGAGAUAUAUAUAUAUAUAUCUUUUAGGAAAAAGAUGUCAAUUAUGAUGAGUGUGAAGCUAUAUUUAAUAAUGUAUGAGUUGAGAUAUAGAAAGUCAAAUUUCAAGUGGUGUGUGUCAUGGUGGAAGCAGAGAAAAUGGAAGAUCUUAAUUACUAUCUCAAAUUUUGAUUAAAGUCUUUACUUAAUGGUGUUUCCAUCAUGGUAGGACCUAAGAUAUCCCAAAUAAUGAAGUUUUUAAGUCUUUUGACUUUGUACUUCUUUUUUUAAAAAAGAAAUUCUCAACUCUUUAAAACCUAGCUAAGGUAGAAGGUGGGAUGUCUAGUGGUAAAGAAGGGAACUUGCAAAAACCCUAAUUUGCACAUGGUAUUGUGUGGUUGUGCACUUAUAUAUGUCCAAUGAAUAUGGAAUGCCCUAUAUUUUCUCUUCUAAAUUAUUUCAAGUGGAAGAUAUAUAUAUACACACAUAAUUGAGCAUCUUGUGUGGAAGGAUUUAUCAACUUUUCUUUUUUGUUAUGUCUGUGUUUCAAGUAUUGAAAAAUAAAAUUAAUAUAUUUAUAAAUAUAACAAAAUAUCAACAUCUCUGUUAGUUAUUUAUAUCGAUAUUUAUUAUCUAUUAUCUAUGAAUUGGUAGUAAUAAUUCGUCACUAACCUCAAAGUGGCUCUAUUUCAUUAUAUUCCAUCCAUAUCCCAAUUCCAUUCAGUUAAUAUCCCUGUGGUGUCAUUGAGAUAAGAGAUGUCGUUUCUAGUCUAUCUGUUUCUCUAGUCUAUCUGUUUCUAUUUCUAUAUAUAUGGAAAGUUAAAAAAUCAUCAUAUAAUAAUAUAAUAAUCUAGAAAUUGCAAUAGAAAAGAAAAAAAAUUGCAAUAGAAAAGAAAAAUUAUGAUAUUUUUUAUAUUUAUAAAUAUUUUAAACAGUUUUAUUAUUUAAAAUAAUUAUUUAUAAAUUGAAUGAAUCAAAUAUCUUUUAUCUUUUUAUAUUUUUAAUAAUAGUUAGACACCAAAUAUACAUACAUCACAAUAAUUAAAAUAGCAGAAGAUAUCUAAUGGUGAAGUUUUUUUUCUUUUAAUGAUUUAUUUGUAUGUAUGUAUAAUGAGCUAAGUAAACACUAUUUAACAUAAAAACUCUCAAUUUGCUAUAUUUGUUACAUUAUUUAUUAUUUGCUAUUUGAUAUACAUCAUUUUUUAUUUUUUCAUUCUUUGCUAUUGUGUUUACUAUUUUCUUAUCAAACUAAAAUAGUCUAGACAUCAAAUACAUAUUAUUAUAAACUAAACUAAAAUAAUAUAUGCUUAAAACAUAAAUUAUUUUAAUAAAACCAUGAUAAGUUAAGACUAUAACAACUCACCUCUUAUCCCAAACAUUGGUUUAAUUAAAAGGGACCGUCGGCUAUUACAUUGGUACGAUUAUACAACUUUCCAUUAAUGCAAUUCACACAUUCUAUUUCACUGUAGCAGAUGAAGACGAAUCGCAUUCAUUCUACCACACCCUGUUUUUGUACCAUUUGCUCCCUCUCCUUCAAUUAUUUUCUACCAUCAUGUCUUGACCAAAAGAUAGAGAAAUCCAAAAGGGAUGGAAGAGAGAUUUUUCUUUUGGAAGAAAUAAAUAGAUAUGAAAGUAUUUUUUGAGUUUUUGUAAAAUAUUAGAAGUAUAAUUAUCUCACAAACGAAAUAUGAAAAGUAACAUUAGAUUUUGAGUACUUUAAAAGAAGUCUUUGUAAAUGGUUUCUAAUCAUAUAGUAGCUUAGUCGCGUGGACGAUGAUACUAUUCAUAACUAAGGAACCAAUCGAAACUAAAUGAGUUUAUAUAUACAUUAUUUUGGAUGAAAUGGAAAAUAUAUUCAUAAUUAGUAUGGAUAGUUAGUUGUAAUUAUACUCUUAAAUUUUCAUCGAUAAAAGUUAAAUUUAAUAAUAAUAGAAAUGAAAGAUAAAAGUUAAAUUUAAUAAUAAUAGAAAUGGAAAGUUUGUAGGUGGAAAUUCCAAUUACCACAUUUUUCAAAUUACUCCAUUAUUAUUAUUAUUAUUAUAGUUAUUGUUGUUAUUAUUAUUAUUAUUGGACAACAAUUGCAAAAACUACCUUUAAAUUAUAGUGAUAGUUACCAUUACAUUUUCAAAUUUUCAAUAAUAACAAUUGGCUGCUAAACUUACAAAAAUGUUAAAGUUUGACCCUCAAACUUACAAUAAUUAUGGAAGUUGAACUCACAAAUGGUCGAAAUUAAAAUUUCAAACUUAAAGAAACAAUUAUGUAAGUUUGAAUGUCAAAGGUUUUAGGAGCUCUUUGCACCUAUUAGAGAGGAGUGAAGUAGAUUAUUUUAGCCAAUUUCAUGUUUAGUCCUACUUGUUCUCACUCUUCCUUUUUCACAUCUUUUCUUUCACUAAGUUCUAAUUGUUUAUUAAGUAAAAGUAGAAGGUCAAGUCAAAGUGUAAAUUCUAAUAAUAAUCACCACAUGAGAAAAUUAAACAAAAUCAAUGCAUACUAUUAUAAUCUUCAAACUAUUAUAAUUCUCACACACUCUUAUAAGUCACUCAUCAUUUCAAACGCUCGCUUAAAGUUUUGAAAAGUUGUAAGUGUCGAAUUUUAAUUUUAAAAGUUAAGAGUAAUAAUUACAAUUACCAACCUGAUUUGAAGAGUGAUUUUUAGAAUCCUUAGGUCAUUAUCCAAAAUUAGGUUGGGAGAGGGGUGUGGUGAACGGGGAACCAAAACGAAGGUGAACUGCCGUGUAAGGCGGAGGGGUUGUGGAAGGUUUAAUGGAAAAGGGGCCGUGAGCAGGGUGUCGCCUCACGAGCAUCUAUGUACGGAAGUGUUGGACGAUAGUUUUGAAUUAAAUAGAAAGAAGAAGAGUAUGUGGCUAUUGAGAUUUCAGGAUUUAGGGUUUACUGAAAUAGAGACAAAAUCCCCCAUGUUCCGUGCAGGCUGCGGCAAACAAUCAUUUAUUAUUAUUAUUGCCAAUCAAUUUACGUCUUGAUCUUUUUCUUCUUUUUCCAACUUCCAAUAACUUCCCCUCUUCUACUGCUAGAAUAUGCUCAGUACACUUCUUCACAUUCAUUUUUCUUUUAUGUACCAUACAUACUAAUUCACUUCUUCCCCCUCUCCCACAAUUAUUUCUUUCCCACCUAAGCUCACGCGCAUCUCCAUUCCAUGUCUCAACUCUUAUUAAUAUCCCACAAACCAGAAAAAAAAAUCUCGAAAUGUGUAAGUGAAAGAUGAUAUAAUACAUCUUUGACAUCUAUCUUGUUUCUCACGCAUCCCUCACCCAUUUACACUAAUAUUUUCUCUAAUUCACUCUCAUAUCCACUCAUGCAAACACCAUUGAUAGGGAGACACAUCAAGGUGCUUCCAGACCAAAUAUAAAUUUCACACUGUGAAUUGUAAACAUCUCAUGUUUCACUACAACAAAAGUGGCCUAUUAUCACAUUUGUAUACAUCUCAAAUUGAAAUGAGGGAAGAAAAAACUGUCAUAAAUUUAGUAUGAAUUUAGAUUAUCUAUCAAAUGGUAUAAAAAUUUAAUGGAUUUUACAAUUUUUUUCCAAAAUUAAAAAGAAAAAAAAAUAGAAGAAAGAAAGAGUUUUAUGUGUUUAAAUUUGUAGUUGUCUAGAAUUUUAAGUUCACAUCUAUUUCAUUUAUGAAAAUUAAUUAAAUUUAAAAUUUUAGUUAUGAAUGUUUGCCAUCUAUUAUUUAUUCCUAAAACUUUGGAAGUAUAUAUUGAUUUGUUCUAAAAUUCCAAUUUUGCAUUCAAAUGUCUCAUACAAUUUGGUAAAAAAUAAUAAAAUAGCAAAAUAUGUUUUUAAAAAUAUAAAUAGUUUAUUUUUUAUUAUUUUAAAAAUAUGUUUAUUUAAUGAUUUCAUAUGAAAAUUUUGUUUGAAAAUAUUUACAAACACAUAAAAUUUCAGAAUCUCAAUAUUAAUAAAUAAAUUUUAAAAUCUUAUUUGAUUUGGUAAGUAUUUUAAUGAACUUAUUUCUCAAACUCUUUUAAAAUAGAAAAAGUAAAAUUAAAAUGGGUUCCAAAGAAAUGAUUGGCAAUUUGUUUGGGUGUUAGAAGGUGGAAAACAGAAGCGCCGCGUACGGCGGAGAUUGUCGGAGGUUUAAUGGAAAGGGGCCGCCGCAAGCUGUCGACGCGGAAGCAGUAGGGUAAGUAGAAAAGUUGAAAUACAAAGUAUACAAUAUGUGAUUUAAAUCCAAAAGCAAAGAAGAAGGUCUGUAUCUGUACUGCGUGUGAUGUUCCUCCUACUUACGCUUUAGGGUUUAUGGAAGAGACAAACAAAUUUUCCACAAGUACAAUUUCAUUAUUAUUCCUCCUGCAUAUACCUCAUACGCAACUAUAUAUACACUACUAUCAUCGCUAUCGAUCAUAAUUUCUUUUAAAAUAUUUUCAAGAAUUUUGAACUCACUUUUAGUUCUGACAUGAAUGCUUAUUAGCUAAUUUAAAGGAAAAUCAAUCCUCAUUUCUUGAAAUUUCAUUCACUUUUAGUAUUUCAUUAAUGAUUGGGAUUUGAAAUUUCCGAUCUCACAUUUCUUGUUUCGUUGUAGUAUAUAAGACGAAUUGCAUUCAUUCCACACCUCUGUUUUUGUACGAUUCUUUUGUACCUUCUCCCCCAUUUUUAUUUUCUUUCUCACCUAACUAUUUUUACUUGUGGGAUUUAAAAUAUGGAUAUGGAAAUCUUAUUAUAGGAAUAAAGAAAUAACAUUUUAGAGGAUGUCAAACAUAAAAUUAAUGUUCAGCUUGCUUUCAUGCAUCUUAAUUAAAUCACUAAUGAAUCCAAAUAUUGACUAAUACGACUCGUCUCUCUCACCAAAAUGUUGAAAUUCAAAGGGUAAAAUUAACCUAAAGACAUCAAUAAAACAUAGUUAGAAAUUAAAUGUUUAGAGAGUUUUUGUUUAAUUUAACUUAAAAUUUAUGUAAACUAGGUUAACUUUUAUAAAUGAUGGUUAAAAGUCCAUAAAAUUUAUAUGGAUUCUUCAUACAUGGAUUUGAUUUUCUCUACCAUGGCGCGGUCCAAGAAGGAAGAAGAAGGAGUGAGAAGCAUGGAUUAAUAUUUUUUCUUUUGUUAUUGUAAAAUUGAUUAAUAAUCAAUCUCAACCUGUCCAUGAAUAAAAAAAGAGUUAAUAGAAACUUUAGGUUUCUCUUUCCUUAUCAUCGUUUUUCUUUUCUUUUCUUCUUUCUUUUCCUCUUCUACCAUAUUUUUCCUUUCCAUCGUCUUUUUCUCUUCUUCUGCCAUUUUUUAAAAAUAUUUUCAUUUGUCUUUCUUUUCAUAUUCUAUGUUCGGCAAUUUUUUUUCUUUUCUUUUUUGUCAUUUUCUUCUUUCUUCGAUAAUUUUUUAUAUUUUUUUCAAACUAUUAUUUAGUUCAAGAUUGUGUGUCAAAUAUAAAAUAUCAUGAAAAAAAUCGUUGAGAUAUUAUGAUUUUCAAAUGUAAAUGAUCGUGUAUAAAAAUAGCAAAAUCUAAACGAUCGUGUUCUAAAUAUAAACGAUUGCGUAUCAAAUCUAAACGAUCGGGUAAAAAAAUAUCUAUUAAAAAAAUUGUUGAGAUUUGGCUACUCUAAUUUAAAUGAUCAAAUCUAAACAUAUAUUAUAUUCUUGAUCGUUCAAUGUAGGAUUUGAAGAUGACCAUGCUCUGAAUAUUUGUACAAUUUGGUAGAGAAUGGGAUCAUUCUUUCAAAAGAUAUGAGGGGUCAAACAAAUGGAUUGAAGUUUAGAAAUGAUAUUACAUAUAUAUAUCAAACUUGUUAGUUAUUAUGUUUGACAUAGACUCAAGUACUCUUAUGAGCUCAAUGGUUCCAGUCUCUCCAACCCAUAUAAUUGACGAUGACAAUCUCCAAUCUUUUUAGAAGGCAAUGAAGCAACUAGAAUGUCAUUGUACAUAUCAACGAUAGUUAAAUGGAUUGAUAGGGUUGAUACAAAUCAUAUAUAUGAGGAGUACAAUCGAACGUAGUUUAUUCCAAGUCAAGAGAUUUUUUAUUCUAACUUAAGAGAUUGUUUAAUAUGGGUCAAGAAAUCGUGUUUCUACGUUCAUAUGAUCGGUAUUCUAGGUUAAGAUGAACAACGUUAAAGUAAGUGGAACCAAGAGACAAUGAAAGUACCUUCAAAGAUUCUUCUUGCUAAUGGAGGGAAUAAGAAAAGUGAAGAAGAGCGAUGAGUGUUGAGAGCAUUGAGAGCGACAAGAGAACGUGAAUGAGAAGAAAACUAAGCGAAUGAGAGGAACAAUUAAUUGAGAUUCAACUUUAUUUAUAUCACAGGGGUAAAAUUGACCUUUCACACGAUAUUUAGUUUGUCAACAUGUUUUAAUAAACGAAGGUUCCACACGAUCGGUGAAUUAUUUAUAAAUGAUGGCACACUUACUUUUAAGUGAUCAUGUAAAUUAUGACUAUGCAAUCCACACACAAAAACAUAACCAAUCAUAUAAUAAAUGUUAAACGAUCGCUUAUUAAACCUAAACAAUCGUGUAAUCCGAAAGCCAUUAUUAAAAAUGUUCAAUUGUAAUAAUAUGCAUUAAAGCUUUAAAGGUUAGUUCUAAUAAAGUUUUUACAAAUAGGUCAUAGUUUUUACUUUUAAGGUUAUGGAAUUUUCAGCAAAGAAAAGUAGUGAAGACUAGGAAUCUAGGAGAAUUUUUAGAGUAGAAAUAUUAUUAUACAAUUUGUUGAUGAUACGUAACGGCACAUUUAAUUAGUAGAGUUUUAAUACACAAGUGAAGGUAAAAAUAGAGUUAACCCAGAAAGUAACUAUUUACUAAAACUAACCUCAUUCUUUUUCACUUCUUAUUAUAUAUAUAUAUAGACAUAGCCUUGUCUAUAUAUAUUAGUAUUAAACCUUUUGGGUAAGACAAAAUAAUGAAUUGUGCAUACUUGAAUUUAACGUGAGUAUGUAAACUUAAUUCAAAUUCAACGGUAUUUGACAUGAUUUUUCUAAAGGUCGAAAUUUAAACUUCCACAACUCCAACAUCUUUUUACUAUAAAAAGAAGUGAAAAAUAUAUCAUAGUAAACAUAUACAAUAGUUGACUUUAUCGAGUAUAUACGAUAAGAUUCUUGCAAUAUCCUUAUUGUAGAUCUUGUAGAAAAAAGAAAGUCGAAAAAUAGUGGAUAUCUAAAUGUGAAGGUUGUGACAAGUCAAAUUAUAUAGUAAGGUCCUCCUUCCACCUAGAAAUGCUCUCCUAAAGUGGUGGGGGAAGAAAUAAUGGAAUAAACCUACAACUCAGUCCUCUAAAAUGAGUGAAUCCUGUUGGAAUAAUACUACUUGAUCCACAUUCCUAGAGUGGUGGAAAAGAAUGUAGGAGCUACCUCUCUCAAAAGAAGAUCAUCAAAUUAAAAGGCCUUUUUUCUUUGGUUGACAUUGAAUUUUUUACAAUAUAUUUUCAAAUCUUCGAAACCUAAAGUUGGAAGGGAUAAUAACUAAAUAGUGACAUGUAUUGAGUGGUGCACUAGCUACAUAGUUCAUGUGUGUCAAUGAGUAUACUUUUUCUUCUUAUUUUUCAACUUACAAGUGGAAGAUAGGUAAGCAUAAAGUAUAUUUUGUAUAUGGAGCUAAGAGUUGUAUUUUAUAUAUGUUUUCAACUUUUUUGAUGAUGAGGAUUGCAGUGAUGUACAAGAUUAUGGCAUUGGUACAUACUUUAUUUUCGAUUAUAAUUUUAAGAGCAUGGAGAAAUAUUUACAAAAGUAGUAGCAAUCAGUUUUUAAUAAUUUGUUUCCUUUAAUAAUACAUAAACAAAUAUGGUGAAUGGGGGCAAUAUUAAAAUAAUUAAAGACAAAGAUAAAAAGAUUCAUAAGAUAAAAAGAUGAUCAAGAUAAUGUUUCAAGAAAAGAUUAAAAAAGUGAAAAAAAUAAUGUGAGUGUCUUGCUUUUUUUCAUCUCUUCCAACACUAUGGAAGCCAAAGGAGAUGAACUUGCAUGGAAAAAACCAGGGGAGUACCAUAGCGGUAUUUCACACUCACGUGGGUCCAUUCUCGUCCAUGUUGAAGCUUUGGAUAAUACCACUUUUUAGCUAAACCCCACAAUCCAAAACCUCCCUAGAGUUUUCCAUAUAAAUUCCCCGAUUCUGAGCUCAAAGAACCAUCCAAUUCUCAACCGCCGAAAAACAACAUUUCGUAUACAAGUUUUUAGCUAAAUGGGUAUUCGUCUGCCGGAGAUCAUUCUUCACGCCAAGCAAAUAACUCACCGUGCGGCGGCGCCGUCGCACCGGCAAGUUGGGUAUGAAGUUACGAAGCAUCGAUCGUCGUUUUCCGAUGUUCCGAAAGGCCAUUUUGUGGUCUAUGUUGGAGAGGAAGAAGAAGACAGGAAGCGAUUUGUUGUGCCAUUGUCGUACUUGAAGAAUCCCCUGUUUCAAGAACUGUUGAGUAAAGCUGCUGACGAGUUUGGAUUUGACAAUCACUUCGGUGGGAUUACGAUUCCUUGUGCUCAGGAUCAAUUUUUGGGUUUAACUUCUCGGUUGAAUAGACUCAUUAGUUGAAAUUGAUCAGAACUGAGAACCCAUUUGCCCGAAGCUUAAAAGAUGGUAUAGAACUCUGUAAAUUAAUCGAUGAUAUUCUUAUAUUAGAGGGGGUUUUUCAGAAAUGGGUUUCUCUUGCACUAUGGAGAGUUUAGCCACUGAUGUAUUUUCAUUCAUUUAUCUUCCUGUUUAAUACAAAAUCUGAAUCAUUGAAUCAUUGAAUCAUUGAAUCAUUGGAGUCCGUUUAUUUUCUUUAUGAAUCGUUGCUAUGCUUCAUUAAUGAUCACCAAACCAUCAGUCUCAUUUUAUUUAUCGUCAAACGCUUUGUUUGCAUCUCACACCGUUUGAUGUUUAGACAACUGAAUGAAUGGAAUAGCAAACUUCUGUUUCAUUAGGAUAAACCGUUUGGUUGUCUUCUUGGGUUGCCGAAUAUUUCUGGUGAAGUUUCACCCUCUAUGUAAAAUAAUCACUAGUUUCAAGAACUUGAGAUUGAGAUUAAACCUUGUGAAUUGUUUUAGAGACUGGAGAUGAUGGGUUCUUUCAUAUCAAAGAUUCUUCUGUAUGUAAAUGCUCUGUUCUUUGGUUUUGUUUAAAAAAAAAACUUUUUUUUUCUAGUCUUUGCUAAGAAAAAACUUAAGUUUCCGUUUGUUCUUGACAGAAUGGCUUUUGGGUAUGUCUAUCCUGCUUAUGAGUGCUUCAAGACUGUGGAGAGGAGGCCAUUAGAGAUAUUCCAACUUCUGUUUUGGUGCCAUUAUUGGUUUGUAAUGCCUGUUCUUAUGCUAUGAUCAUCUUGGCUUUUAAUUUGUUUCAAGUUAAUUACAGUGUCUAAACAUCUCAUUUUCUGUCUGUUCUGUAGGAUCAUUGUUGCUUUGCUUACAGUAUUUGAAAGAGUGGGAGACCCUUUGAUUUCAUGGUAAACAAAUGUCAUUUGUUAUCUGUAUUCUUCAGUGAGUUUCAUUUUUCUUUUCGAAUAAGAUUCAAAUAACUGAGGAUUAGGACUUGCUACUUGUAUUAUGCUCAUGGUUUGCCCUUCUAACUUGAAAAGGUUUUGCUAACUCAAGGCUAGAACAAAAUGCUUUUAAGUUUUCAAGACCUCUUUGAUAAUUAUUUGGAUUUUGAAACUUAGGUUUCUUUUGUAAUCUACUUCUUACAAGGGUUUUCAAAAUUCAAGCCAAGUUUUGAAAGCUAAAAAGAAGUUGUACUAUUUAAAAACUUGACUUGUUUUUUUGUUUUUUGGAAUUUGGCUAACAAAUCAAAUGUUUGCUUAAAAAGGAAAAUGAAACAAGCAAGCACAACGACUUAGUUUUCAACUUUGAGUUUUCCUGAAAAUGUGAGAAAAAAAUGUUAGAAAGAAAGGAACUCGAAUUUUUGAGGGAGGCGCCCUGAGGUUUUGUCCACCCAGCGAAAAAGUGAAGUUUCUAAAGUCGAGUGUGGUAACAAUUUUGUUUUUAGUUUUUAGCUUUUGAAAUUUUGGCUUGUUUUCUUCUAAAUUCGUUAAAUAGUUCUCAUAUAACUUACAGAAACAUUUGAAGUUUUAGUCAAAUUUUGAAAAUAAAACACUCUUGUUUUAGUUUAAAAGGUAUGACUUGGCUUUUUAAAAUUGUCGACAAAACAAUAAACAUAACUUUCAAAAUCUAAUAACCAAAAUACUUAUCAAACAGGUGCUAAAUUAUUAUGGUUGAACAGAAUUGUAUUUAUUCGAGUUUUAUCACGCCAACUAAAUUUGUGAAAUCAUUGUUUAUGAAGGCUGCCACUGUACAAUGAAGCAAAGCUAGCAUUCUUUAUAUAUCUUUGGCAUCCUAAAACAAAAGUGAGUGUUCAAUAUCUCUAGCUCAAAAAAACUUCUUUCUUAUUCACUCCAUCUCAAGUUUUGCCUCAAUGGAUAACUAACUGAAGUUUGUUUUCAGGGAGCAACAUAUAUGUUUGAUGUUGUUCUUCAGCCAUUUAUAUCGAAACAUGAAGCAAAAAUUGAUCGUUGCCUUGUUGAACUAAGGCUCAAGACAGCAGACAUUGCAGCCUUGUUUUGGCACAAAACUACUAGUUGCAGCCAGACAACAUUACUCGACUUGCUUCGUAAUGUUUCGUGGAUGCCCACAUCACAGACUUGUCAUAAUCAGGUACUUUUAAUGAGAAGAUUAUCAAUGUAUUUAUUUGAGAAACUUCUACAAAAAACUCUUUGAAAUUAAGAGGCCUUGUGUGGUGGUGGUGUGUUUGAUUUAGCAUUGGCACAAUCUCAAGAAGGAUGAAACGGAACUAGUGGGAAAGACAACAAAAUGUGUAUCAACUAUGGAAAAUAGAGUUGCUGCAGAUGAUUCCAAGAAGAAGGUAAGUUACGAUGAACAAUUGUCGAAAUCCAAACGUCGAAAAUGGCGAGUUUUUAACUUCAUUUGUGUCAAAUAAGUUUGAGGUUGCUGUAAUAUUUAACAUAUGAUAUGGAAAAGGGCAUUGUGAAGCUUGCUUUUAGGAAACAAUUUGUAAUUUUAGUGUGUUGUAUAUGAAUCUUCAUGUGAUAUAUAUCUCUUCUGUUUCAUGGGCAAUCUGAUUUAUAACAGUUCGAUUAUUGUUCUUUCUAAUUAUAAGGUGGUUGGAAUCUCAACGAUGUUGUGUGUUGUUACAAAUCUACAAAAUGUCUCUAUUCAUACAAAAUAUUCAGAUGUAUUCAUUUUUUAAAAAAUAAAAAUGAAAAAAAGCUAAGCUUUUCAUUUUGGAUUAUGUAUGUUAAAAAUAUCUAUAAACUUUAAAUAACUUUAAAUAAGUUGUUUGAAGACUACGUGGUGUUCAAAGAUUCAAAUUAUUGGGAGAAAUUGUACAAAUGUUCUCUUUUCUUCCUCAUCACUAGCUAGGUAUCAAAUCAUAAUAGUUGACAUAUAGUUUUGAUUCGACUAAGGUGGCAAAAAGGUAAGAUUAACUUGUUUGUUCUAAUCAGCCCUAGGAAGAACCAUGAUGAAUAUUAAUUUAGGUUGUUUUAAGCUUAAAUGAAAUAAAAUUAAAUUGACAAAUCUAUGAUCAAGUUAUAAUUGAGAAAACAAGAGCUCAAAAGCGUAAGUUAGACCAUUUAAUGAUCAUUCAUAUUCAAUUUCCAUUUAAUUUCUCUGCAAUUUAUUUUCUUGGCUUUAAAAUAUUUAACUGAAAAAUUCAUGUGCUCUGUGUAUUCAACUUGAUCUUACUACUAGGACUAAUUUGCAGUGGUGGAUAUAGUUAAAUUAUUUGAUUCAAAUUUAAACAACAAAAUCUGCUUGAUCAUCUUGGCUAUGAAAAUGAUCCUCCAAUGCUGUGAGAUCGUUUUCUAGUAUCAAAUAACCCUCUAAAAUCUGUUCACCAGACUCCUAAAAUACGAGCAUAAAUUUAUAAGGUGUCUGUGUGCCCCAAUGCAUUUUUCUGUCUUCUAGCCUUAGUUUUAGCUAAUAUUAUUGGCUUCUUUUCACCUUUAUUUUGCCUUUUCCUAAGAAGAAAAUACUUUUCAGGUGCUUUUCAAUUUAUCUUAGUGGAAGGUAAACUAUUAAUAAAGUUAGAAAUUACUAUUAGAAGUAACAAUUUAAUUAGCUUCUCAAAGUUUAAAAUUGUAACCAAAGAAAAAGGAAGAAAAUAAGUUAAUUGAUCCCAAGAUAAGAAAAUGAAAAAGGAUUGAAAAAGAUGAAGUUUGUUUGACAACAGAAAAGUUUGAUUUCUCUAUUUUUCAUAUUUGUAUUCUACGUAUCACAAAUAUUUGUAGAGAAUUAAGGUAAAAGAACUCUUGCCUACACUCGCACACAUCAAAAUAAUUUUUCAUGUAACACCACCUAUUUUUUAGACAAAUAUUUGGACCUUAAUAUAAUAGACCAAGAAAAAUAUAGGAAUGAAACAAAGCAAACAAAUAUUAAAUGAGCUUGAAUUAAUGGGUUAUCCUAUGAAACAUUGAAUGAAACUUGAAGCAUAUUGGCAUAGUGAGGGAGAAUCAAAUAUAUUUAUAAAUUAUCAUUAAACGAUCAUAUGACAAUAAUGGUCUAUUUAGUCAAAGGAGUGGAGUGAGCUAUUAUAAUCCACUUCAUGUUUGAUCCAUAAAUUUCCUUCAACUCCAAGAAUAACCCUAGUGAUCAUUGUUCCUCUCUUUUUUGUUUUGCAUGACUAUUGUUUCCUCCUCCCUCUCAACUCCACGAUGCACUGUUCUCCUCUCCCCAUUUGUCUUCCUUCUCCUAAAUGAUCUUUCGUCUCCCUUAUCUAUAAUGUCCUUUCGUCUCUCCUUGUCUUGAAACAGUGAUCUUUCCACUCUGAUCAUCGUUCUUCGCCGAAAAAUUUCUCAAAUUUGUUUAGGAGUUUAGUCGUUGCAUGUUCGAUCCCUUUUUCUCUUUCUGAUAUGUUAUUGUAGUACUGUGAGUUUAGUAUUGUUCUUAGUAUCACGAUUGGUUUCUAUGUUUUUUCUUAAUAUGUGACCAUUUGAGGCUGAUAUUUCUUUUGCUUUCUUAUGGGUGAUUCUUAGCUUCUAUUCUAAUAAUUUUUCUCCAUGUAUUCCAUGAGUUGUUUUCAAUCCAUCAUCGUAGUACUAAUUAUUUUGUGAACUUAUUAUCAUUGUCCUAAGGUUUAAUUACAAAUGAAAUGGAACUUUAUAUAUUUAUAUUUCACACUAAGCACAUGUUGAAGAAUUUAAUUUUGUAUUGUUUUCUUAUCAAUUUGUAGGAGAUGUAUCUCUAAUAUAAUUUCAAAAAGAUCACCUGAACAAAUGAGAAAAUUACUUUUAAAGAAAUUAUAGUUAAAUUUAUUAGAUGAACAACGCAAUUAACAAGAUUGAAUAAAAUAACUCUGAAAAAGAAUAGUGAAGAAAGAUAAGUUUUGAUAUAACUUAAAUUAUAAUAAUCAGCACUCCAAAUACAAAUUAUAGUAACCGCAACUAUAAUAAUACGUGUGUGAAAGACAGACAAUAAUAAUCUAAUUUAGGUUAAUAGGGAUGAAAUUAUAGGUUAAAUGGUAACAAAAUGAAAAGGAAAGAAAGAAAGAAAAAAAAGUGGAGUAUUGAGAAAUAAUGGUGUAGGAAAAUUGACACGUGGGAGGGGGUAGGUCACGUGUAGAAGGAAGAGUGAUACAAAGCGACAAACGUGACGAAAAAAAUUGAAGAUGGGAGAGGGGAUGGUCGAUGGUGUGCCUUGCCUCCGCCCCAACCCUCCCACCGCCCCACGUGUCUCCACCACAUACGUAUUAGUGGUUACAAACCCUCUACCCCUUUUUCUUUCUCUUUUUCUUUUUUCUUCAAACUUCUACCCUAAACUGCAUAAUCAACACCAAUCUUUAACAUUCAAAUUUUAAAUCUUACCAUAUAACUAUCACUCCAUCACCCCAACACUUUUAUUGCUAACACAAUUACCCUACCAAUCAUUUUACAUUCUAUUAUAAUUAAAAUAACAUUCAUAUUAUUAAAUCAUCAAUUUAUCCAAAUCCUUAAACAAGUGGUAGAAGACAAAUUUAUUUAUAUAUCAUCAAUACUCUCCUCACAUGUGGACUUGAAAUAUUUGAAAGGUCCAACAACUGAAAAUUAAUUUUAAUUGAGAUGAAAACGAUGAACACAUACCUAUGUGGACCACCUGCUCUAUUAUCGUAUUUAACAGAGUUUUCAAGAAACUUUCACUCAAUUUAUUUAUAAACAAGUGGAAGAAUUUAUACAAAUAUGCGCAUGUUAAUGUGCAUAACCAGAUCAUUCAUUUAAAUUCAAGCUACCUAAUAUAAAUACAAGAUUCCAAUGAAAAGUUAUUAAAAUGAUUAUAAACAUAUCAAAAUAUUGGUAGUAUAGAGAGUUAGAUUAUUACACGUGUAAUUGAGCAUACGACACACAAUAAUCUACUACAAGAAAACAUUAAAUUUUUUCUUUGGUUAUAUUUAUUUAGAAUAGUGUUUGGAAAAAGAGGUUAAUUUGCACUAUUAAUUUGUUAGAAGUAUUCAAUUAUCUUUCAAAAUUGAUGAACAGUUUAAUGUUAACUUGAGACAAAAUUCCAAUUUAAAAGAUGAAUUAGUGAAACCGAACUUGACUAAAAGAUAAUCCGACUAACCUUUUAUUAUUUAGAGAUUCAAAGUUUUAUCCAUUCCACAAUUUUACUUUAUAAGAAAAAUUCAAUGAACAAAUAGUUAUUUUAUUUGAAGUUUAAAGUAGAAAUGAUAUGGAUGGAGACACGUUGAUGGUCAUGGAUCAUCUCUAGUGCUGAACAAAAAGAAGAAGAAAAGAGAAAAAUUGGAAAGAAGAAGAAGAAGAAAGAAAGAAAGAAAGAAAAGUGUCUGAAUUUGGUGGUUCUGGAAGUUGCAUUUAUGGCGUAAUCCAAUAAAAAUAUAUGACUUGAGUAAUCCAAGCAACUUGAUCCUUCAUACCCAACACAACACAACACUAACAAUCUCUUUCUCACAAGAGUCUCGAGCAAAAAGCUCCUCUCAUAGUUCACAGGACACUCUAAAAUUAAAUGGAUCCUCUCCCUUCUUCACCUUCUUCAUCAUCCAAACCACAGGUUCUGGACGGUUCAGAAAUUAUGGAGUUGGUUGCCAACAACCACCUCUUCUCUUCUUUCGUCGACCAUAAGUUUCACGACCUCGACACCGACAAAGACGGCAAACUUUCCCUCCAAGAACUUCACCCUGCCGUCGCCGACAUUGGUGCUGCUCUUGGCCUUCCUCCCCAAGGCACUUCCCUUGAUUCCGAUAACAUUUACUCUCAGGUUUCCUUUCCUUUCAUUCUCUUCACUUUCCUUACAAAUACCACUACAACUAUCUCUGUUUCUUUAGCUUGUUGCUGUUGUUUUCAUUUUUUUUCAAUCAUUUGAUCUUAUCUCAAAUGGGUUUUUUUCGUUCCAACUACAAGUUGGAGUCUGUUGGUCAUUUGACGAUCUGUUUGUCCACUACUAGAUUUGAGAGACCACCAACGUGAGGAAAAGUUUUGUUCAUCUUUUCUCUUUCAAUUCUGCCCGCCUUUGAUAAAUUAAACACAGCUUUGAAUAUUUAAUUGUUUAAUGACGAUUAUUUUACUCUAGAAAUCAGACAAAGAUCCCAUUUCAUUUUUUUACUUCAAUAGCUUUUGACCGUCCAAAUAUUGUAUGCAUGAUGAUCGUUUUUUUUUAAUUUAAUCUUUCAUGCCUGCCAUUCAUAAAGAUUAUUUUUAAUCUGAUGAUUGUGAUGAUGAUCUAAUGGUUUAGUGGGUAAUGAUGAUUUUAAUUUCUCUACAAAAUACAAAUUAUUAUUUUCUAUUUACAGAUGGCUUGAGAAGUAUCUAACCUAUUGGUCCAACAUGGCCGGUGGGUUCAUUACAACUUUCUGGUUUUCUCUUUUCAGUUCAUACUCUCUUUUCCUUUUUUACUUUUUUUUUUUUUUUCCUUUUAUUACUUUUUUCUCCUAUCUUCGUUUACAAGGAGGAAUCUAUGACGAGUGCUUUGAAAACUAUAUCCCUUUUUAUCUUUGACAAUACUAGAAUUGUCAACAUCUGACCGCAAUAACAAUAAACCAAGUUUCCUGCUCCAAUAAUUAAGCAAAAGAAAUAGAUGAUCUAUAUAUAUAGUGCUUAGGCUUUUGUUGAUACAAUACAACUGUUCUUGUUUCCCGCGUGUCUUUUGUUGCCAAAAUAUAUUGUAUAUUUUCAAUUUUAGGCAGGUUCUGAUACUACUUCUGAUUUUGUUUCUUUGAGUUUAUUGUCAAAUAUGUCUUCUUUAGUGCAAACAGUUUCCAUUCUUGUUAGUUCAUUCAACUCUGACACUUCCUGCUCUGGAUGGGGUUCUUCUUUGGGUGGGUUAUGUAGGUAUUGAAUGAAUUUACUCAUGGAUCAAGAGAUAAGGUAAGCAAGACCGAGUUUAAAGAAGUUCUCUCUGAUAUUCUGCUAGGCAUGGCUGCCGGGUUGAAGCGAGAUCCUAUUGUUAUACUUCGGAUGGAUGGAGAAGACCUUCUUGAAUUCAUUAAUAGCUCUGCUUAUGAGCCUGAGAUGGUCGCCACUUUUUCAGAAAUCAACCUGCCUGAAGGAUCUCUUCAAGAUUACAUUGUUAAAGCUUUUGAAGAUCUUACUGUGGAACAAGGGAUGCCUCCUCCUUCAGACUCCUGGGUAAUUGAUCGUUUGAAUAGAACUAAUAAAACUCGGUUUUUCUUUUUUUUUGGGUUCUUAACCGAAGUGUGACUGGAUCAUUUCAUGCUCUAGUAGUUUUGUGAUUGAACUUGUUCCAACUUCUCGUCAGGUUAUGAGCGAUAUUAUCGAACCAGCUCUGGAAUCCUGUGCUGCAGGUGAGAAUUGGGACAAGCCUGUCUCGCAAGAGAUCUUCUUGUUGGCAUUCAAGAGGGCUGCAGUGCAUAUCGCUCAACGCCUAAAAGAACAGCCUGUUAUAGUUGCUCAUAGUGAAAACACCUUUGAUGGAAGUAGCAUAAGAAGACUGUUAUCCAACAAAUUCGAACUGGACAAGGUAAUAUCGCAUCAUAGUACUACUGUUUUCCACUAGUCUUGCUUGAUUAAGGUUGUUCUUGCCUCGGUGUUCUCCACCCCUUGUAAUAAAGUAAGCUCCAAUUCAGCAAAAUGCCAAAGCACUCAAUAGAACAAGUUGCUCCAUAAUCCUCUCUUCAUUCUAGAUUCUGGUCUCGUAGUUCAUAUAUUAUAAUUUUGAUCUUGAUGCAGUCACUUAAUGCGGCACUUCAGACUGUCCCAAGAGAUAAAACCGGAAAAUUGCCAAAGGAACAUUUACAGUUGGCGCUGGAUUUGGUUGCUCCAUUAGCCGGUUUACCACCACUUGGUGCCCUUGAUGAGGUUACGAAAACAAUCAACAUUCAUCACUGACAUUCAUUAACAUCAAGCUAAUCACUCACUUCACUUCACUAAUGUCUGGUUUAUAUAAUAUAAAUAUAAUCUGCAGAUGGACAAGCUUCUUCUUGAUGUAUUCAAGAUGGUAGACGCGGAUGACGGGAAGGUAGUUAAAGAGGAGGAGUUCAAGAAACUAUUGACUGAGAUUCUGGGGGCAGUCAUGUUACAAUUGGAAGGCAAUCCAAUCUCAGUUUCUUCUAAUUCUGUUGUGCAUGAGCCUCUAGCUUGUUCUUCUACACUUUUGACACCACCCUCUUAGAAAUCAUAUAAAGCUGAGUUAUUGUAAGGUGAAGGAAUGACAUAUAAUUGCAUAAGUUAUCCUAAUAUCGGGAGCUUUUUAAACUACAAUAGAGAAAAGGAAAUGAAGCGAAGUCAGGAAAUUUCAAAAUUAGCUUAGAUUUGGUUGAAAGUUCUUUCUUACAAGCUGCAAAAGGAUGCUCCCUUGAAUGAAUGAAUGAAUGUAUGUAAGUAUAAGAUUUGUUGUAUUAUGUUGUAAAAGAUACUUUAUAUGUAUGAGAGCAUUUCAGAUUCUCAUUACUCAAAGAAACCAAAUCAAAAUCGUAAUUCUUCCAUAUAAUAUAUUAAGAAGAACUUGAAUGUGAAUAAAAGACUAGUUUGAUAUAUUAUUAAAGAAAUUUUAAGUUUUGUAUGUUUUUUAGAUAUGGUGUGUGUCUGUAUCAGCACUAAUGUAUAAGUCUCAAGUAUAUUGGACUAGAGUAUACUAUAGAGUAAUACUAAUGGGUGAAAAGUCUUUGCACCUUUUAAAAGUUAAAAUGAACAUAAGUUGAUGUUUUGAAAUUUAUAAUGUCAUAUUCAAACCUGUAAUUUUUGUAUUGUGCAUUGACAAUUUGACAUUAGAUUUAAAUAAUUGUCUGUGGUUUUAGACUUUGAGAACAACAAAGACAUAACUAUGUGGUCUCGAUUAGAUGAGUGAUUGAAAAGAUAUAUGAAGAAAACGUUUAAAUAUUUGAAAACAGUGCUAAUUUUUUUUUCUUCACAUGUGAUGGUGAUGGUGAUGGUGAUGAUCAUAAUAAUAAGAUGAAGAAAAAUAUAUUUUAAGUUAAUGCAAAAUAUUAAACAAAUAGUUGUGAUUUGAUUUGAUAAUUUUUAGGAAAGAGUUAAUUUAGUUUAGUUUAUAUUAAGUCAAUCUAACAAAUGGAGGGUCUACAGAUAGACUCUUUUGGAAGGUAAAAUGUAAAUAUAGAUAGAUUCAAUAUGUUUGUUGUUGGUAGUGUUUUCGACAAAGUAUGGUCAAUUUAUCAUUUGGGAGCAAAAGGGACGGAAUUAGACGAAACCAAUUACAAAAAUACCUCUGGUGUAGGAUAACAUUACAACGUCUAGAAAAAAUGAGACCUGCAAUACAGCGUAUUGUAAGUGCGUGCAGUAGGAUCGAAAAUGUACUAUCUAAAUCCUUGUUAAUUUGGAAUCGUUCUAUGAUUUUACAUUCUUAUUUCUCUAUUUUGUAGACUUCGAGCAAACCAAGAAUAAGAUUUAGUGUUGAUGUGGAUUUGGAGCUAAAAUGAGCAAAAACGAUAUCAAGUGGCAUCAACAUGAGUCAAAGAAGUGCAAAAGAGGUCAAAUAAGCCCCUACCUUGCAGCCCCACACCGCCUCACAGUUUAGUUGUUGUUCUUUAAGAUGUUUCGUCGAUCUACUUGAUAUGAAAACAGUUCUCAAACUACUCCAUCACAUAAAACCACCUAUAUUCUUUAUUCGGAGUUGCAUCAGAACCAAACGAAAUACCAACACUCCAAAUGAUAUUUGUUCGAACAAAAAAAGAUUAGAAUACAGGGGAGAAAGUGAGAGGAGAGGAAAUUUGUUUUCUUUUUAUUUUUUCAUGUUGAAAUGAGAGGGAGGUGUGCUAUAAUAUAGUGGAGGUUUAAUGUGAAUAAUGGUUAAAUUAAUUAAGAAACGUUUGUAAUGGUCAAAUUCAAUGGUCCUUCUUCUUCUUUUGUUUAUUUAUUCUAAAUAAUUGAUUUUUUUAAUUUGUUAAAUUUAUUUAUAAUAUCAGCUAAGGUUAUGGUGGCUUUCAUAGCGACAUGUGGCUUUCUGGCAUUGAUCGAUUCUCAUCAAGCAAAAGUAAUCAUUGACCAUUUUGAAGUGCUAAAAUCUUAAAUGGUUCAUAAUAGUAAAAAAAUAAUUUAAAAAAUAUGUUUCAAAAUCAGUAUGAGCAAAAAUAUAAAUCUAUCAUUAUUUUUGAUCCACACAACACCAUUGCUUUAAAUAAUUUUUCAUGAACAACUUCAAGUCUGUUCUCCAACCUGUUCAAUAUCGUUGGCCCACCUGGAUGUACUGCCAAGAUUGGUUGCUUGGCCUUCCAUUGCUACCCUACGUACUUCUUCAAGUGAAUUUCUGCUUGAGGUCGAUAUCAUAGCAGCUUGUGUCCUUGAAAUAAUUGUCGACCAAGUAGUCUUGAAGGACAAGGCCUUCCCAAGAGCCAAAAUUGUAGCCCUGCCAAGGUUGGCCUUUUCCUUGGAAGCUCCUUGUGCACCAAUUUUGUUUCCAUCUAUUUCAUUGCUUUUCCAAAGAAACCUAAGAAUCAACUGAUUCUUUGAAAUUUGAAAAGACAACACAGCUAUUGCCUAUUUAUAAAGUCGGACUACCUGUUCAUUACCUAUGAAGGCAGUUUGAAUGCUCAAACUCUCCACAUUCAUGUAGAUUGUAUAAUGUUAAUUAGUUGAUAUGUAAGGGAUUCGUGUAGAUUGUGUGUAUCAGUAAGGUAAAGAUUUGGUUAAAGUGUUUAUUUAACGCAUUUGCAAUCCAUUUGAGUUGACAUGGUCUGAUGCAAAACAUCUUGUGCUCGAGCAUAUAAAAAAGAGAGGUAAAUCUCACCUGCGACAUCGACUUGUUUGCUCGGGCUAGCCGAAACACAUUUAACAUACAAUAAAACAGAGUACACAAUAUGAUUUCCAAAAGUAUAUAUGCUAACUUAAAUAUUAUUUGACUCUGGUACAUCACAAUGUUGUCAAAGUUCAUGAAUGCACUUUCCACUGAUGAAAUCUAUAACUUUUGUAACUGCUUGAUCCAGUGCAGCAGAGACUGUAGCUAGAUUCUGCAAGAAUUCUUCAGCAGUUGGUUUUUCGCCAUCUACGAUAUCGGUUACAGCUUUUAGAAAUAUGGCAGGAACUUUGAAUAUAUCAGCCACAUAGGCUACUGCUGCUCCCUGAAAUUCAAACUAAGAGUUAAAGAGGCUUUGAUGGAAUUUAGAAGUAAAAGAAAUUGAUGUCAUUCUCAUCCUUUGCUGACUAUAGUAGGUUCAUCAACACUUCAACUUUUACCUCCAUAUCUUUAACUGUGGCAUCAUUAGCUACAAUCGAUGAUUCAUCUUGUGCAGACAUGUCUAGUGAAUCACCCGUUGAUAAUUUGCCAACCUGAUAGAAAAAACAAAACGAAUUAGCCCAUCGAAGAUAUAAUGUGGAAACUCGAUCAUCUUAUAACUCCACAAUCAGAAGUCUGAUAGAACACUGAUAUAGUGUUUCUAUUUAUUGAUAUCUGCAACAGAAUUACAAUAUAAAAGCAGUAAAAGAAAAAUUAAAGAACCCUAACCCCCUGCCCUUCCUCUCUUUCAAGGAAUAUUGCAGCCCUAAUUCUUCACCCCCUUCUCCCUCCCAACAGACUCCUAUUUAUACUCCAUAACCAACUCCUAUUUAUACUCUAACUAACUUUCUCUCUCCAUAACAAACUUAUGCUCUAUUAUUUUAUUAUGGAAUCAUACAAUAUUAAAACUAUUAAGGCUAUUCUCCCUAGCACGUGCGGUUAACCUGCGGUUAACCUUGCUUCUUCUUCCUUCUACUGUACUGGUGUAUAAUUGGGGGUCUAUCAAAGUCUUCACGAACUUUAGAAGUUAUAGACACAUGCAUACUGAUAUUGCAUUACUAUUAAAUGCUACAAACGAGAACUUCAAGUGUUUUAGUUCAUGAAAAAUGAAAAUGACUUCUUUCCUACCAUGAUGGAAGUUGAUAACAUUGAAAAUUUAGGAAUUAUAACAAAAACAAACAUAGCAAACCAGUGACACACUUCUUGAAGCAAAUUUUCAACUAGUGUUUCAAAACCAGGAAAACUCCGUCUCAAACCAAAAUUUAAAUCAUGAGCUCUGAGUUACAUCUAUCUUCACACAAUGAUGCUUAAGGGAUGAAGGAUUUGGGGGUUUAUCAUGACAUGAGUGGUAUUAGAAAAAUAGGAGCCUCACGACUCACAUCACAUUGGUCAGAAAAGAACUUGUCUGCUUUAAAACAUCACAGUACCAAAACAAACUAGUUCUGUGGAUGAUCAAACUUAGAGAACAAAUAUACCAUAAUGUUAGGUCUAAUUAAUUUCAUCUGAAGGAAAUUCACCUUUAGAUCAAGUUCCUUAUGGAGAUUGGGCGUUUUCCAUGCUUGCUUCAAUCCGACUCCAUAUAAAUCAAAAACCUGAAGUACAGUAAACUAAUAAUGAUGACAGAAAUUAAUGAAGCAGAAUUCAGAACCUAUUACAUUUCAACUGACACAGAACAUCAUUUAGGUGAAGACUUGCUUUUCCAUUAGAUUAUCAACCCAUUAGUUUCGCAGAUAACUGAAAAUUAAAGUGUAAAUUUUGCCCAUUAAAACUCUUGAAACUAAUACUUACUGGAAUAGGUAUACGUCUGUCAUGGAAGGCACACUCGGAUACCAGAAACACGUCGCCAAUGCUAGCUCCUUUCGCCUGGUAGCAUCCAAACCCAACCACCAGUCAAACACAAAGAAGCAAUGUCUUUAAUCCUUCACAAUUGUUAGUAGGUUAAACUACAUAAUAAAUCCCUGAAUUUUAAAAAGAUUCAGUAGUUGUUGGAUGGAGGAACAUGACCACAACUCAAUGAAUAAAGAGAUGGAGAGGACAUCACUGAGAUUGCGUCUGAAUGUCAAAAACAGUGUUCAAGGGGAAGAAAAAGAAAAAUAGAAGGAAAGACAAUGAAAACCCCAAAAAAGAGAUUGAUAUGUCCAAGAAGGCAAUCACUAGUUUGAUGCUCUUUUUGUUUUAACUUUGAAUCAAGGACAAAAGAACAAGUAGAUGCAUGGAAAGGCAACAGGAUAUUCAUACUGAAGAAAAAAGGAAAUAACUGAAACCUAGAAAUAGAUUGCUAUGAAGACAUAAACAUACCUUAAAACCACCAGCAGUACCUGCAUUUAUGAUCAGGUCUGGAUGCAAUGCUUGGAUAGAAGCAUAGGUUACAAGCGAUGCAGAAAUCGUGCCCACGCUAUCAACUCCUGAGAGAUAAUUGGAGGAAUUCAAAAUUCAGAAACAGCUUACUUUGUAACUUAGCUUCUGUUUUGAACCCACUUAUCAAAAAGGUGCAGAACCAAGAAAUACACCAGACACCAGCCAAAAUAUCUGUCUACAAAUGCUGAAAGAAGAACAUAGAACUGGGAAAAAUGGGCAAAACACAAGCCACAAGGAUGUAGCAACAGAGGACUUUUCAAAAGGAUGAAAGAAACGAAUCAGGCUGUAUGAUGCUAAUGAUAACCAACUCAAUCAUUUGAUAUGUUAUUAGAAAUAGAACAUCUAAUGAUCUAACAUUACAGGGGAAAAAAGUUAGAUGAGUUCCAUUCACUUUUCAUUAUUUCUGUCAAACUUUUUCCAAAUUAUAUCCAAAAUGACAGAAUCAUUCUCGAAAAACUUAAUGCUCUAGUACCGGACAUAUAGUUCAGGUAAUCAGUAAGUAAUGUAGGACACAAACAUGUAACGAAAUUAAGCGUGGUAUCUGAACUUCAUGGGCAAAGUCAUAAUAAGCAACUCAGUUACAGCCAUAGCUAGCCAAUCUGAUCCAAAUCAUGUAACACUAAGAGUCAUGUUUCGUUUACUUACAAGAAAGAAACAAAAAAGAAAGAAGACAUGCAAAAAUAAGCUGCAAUCAGAUGAAUACAAAAAUACUGGUCUUAGAGAAAAUAUUAUACAUAGCUUGAACAGAACCAGUGGGAAUGCUAAAGCUCGGUUUUGAAAUGCAUGACAAAUCAUUGUCAUUAAUAAUCUAUAGAGAUCAUCCAGAAGAAAAAAAAAGUAACAAAGUGACAAAUUACUCAUAGUUCCAUACCCAAGGCUAAAUCCUUUCCAGGCCAAAUUAAAUUGAUUUGAAGAUUUCUGUAAAUCCCCUGAUAACGAACCCAUGGAACUUCCUUCGGAAACCUACAAAAUCAAGCACUUCAUAUAAAAACAAACAAAAAAACCAUAUACAAAGAAGAAAGAAAGAAAGCAAACUCAACCCAAAAUGAAAGAAAAGUACAAAAUGCAAGAGUCAAACAGGAAAAGAUCAAACCCCCAGAAAGCUUCCAGCUUCAUAAAAUGGAUUGAACAAAAAAAGAAACUCACACAGAUUUUUGAUCUUCAGAAAGUUGAAACUUCUCCACUAAAGGAAGCGCUUCAGUCUGCAUAGCUGAAUCGCCAAAUCACAACCCAACAGUCGAAAUCCCAAACUAAGAAAGUAAAACAAAAAGUAGAAUACAAAAAAAUAUAUAUAUAUAUAUCAAAUUACGAAGAUGGGUUACCGAUUAUAAUGAGAAUAGAUGAAAUUGGAAGCUUGGUGAGAGUCUGAGAAUCCAUGUAAUUCUCUGCAGAGCUGGGAAUGUCCUUGGGAAGAACCAUAGUGAUGUUUGCUAGCAAUGGGCAAAACUUCAGAGGAAUUUAAAGGAAAAUCAAAGGGACUUGGAAGCGACUGAAGGGUAGAAAAUUAUGUGAAAAUGGUAUAGAAGGUGGCAAAGAGUCACUAUAAAACAGCCUCAACGGCGGCUGUUACAAAAGCAAAGUAACUUUUUUUUUUUCCUUCUCUGUGUAAUUCCCCUUUUUGCUAGGGAUUUGGGUUAUUUCAAACUUCAAAUUUCAAUAUCCAUUCAUUGAUUUUCGUGGUUUAUAUUCUUUUUCGUUCUUUUGUUUCAUUCGGAAAAUAUAUUUCUUGAUAAAUAUCCACCAUUUUCUUAAUAACUUUUCACUAACUGGAUUUAUGGAACCUUUUUUUUCUUUUACCUUUUAGGGUAUCAAACUCCUAUGUUUCACUCAAAUUAUGGGUUCCACCUCUUGGAACAAAGGUUACCAAUACCACUAAACAAAGCUUAAAAGAGAAAGGUGAAAAGUAUAUUUUAAAAAAUGCUUAAUGAAGGUGCAUGUUCAACCAUAAUCUACAAUUGAGGUUGAGUUGUUUAUAACUUGGUGGACCAAAUGAUUCUAUAAACAACCCAACUUGUACAAAGUUUUUCUAUUUGUGUGCCUUACUUUUUUUUAGAGUUCUAUUGUAAUUAUAGAUUAUAAAAGUUAAGCUUAAAAGUUUUAUGGUUGAAGGACAUUGGGUAUUAUAAGAAUAACUCGAUUUUAAAAAUAUAUAUAUUAAUAGUUUUAAGAAAAAUUACUUUUUUAGUCUCUUAAGUGUUGAAGAACAUGUGUGUUGGUUGCUCGUAUUUUAAAAUAUAACUUUUUAGUCACUAGGUUUAUAAGAAGAAUAGACCAAUUUGAUUUUAAAAUUUUGAAAUCUAUAUUUUUAAUGUAUGAAUUUUAGAAAUAGUUUUAGAAUGUUUCUUAAAUAACUUUAUACUUCUAUUCUAAAUAAUUAUAUAUCAUUUUGAAUCAAUAUAUGUUUUUUAGAUUUUUGAAUGAUUUUUCUUAUCCCUUAUGGGAGAUCUUUGAUUAUAGGAGAACAAACAAACAAAUAAUAUUUGGAUUUAUAAUUAAAAAAGACUUUAAAAUAAAAGCUUCAUUAGAAAUUAAAAAAAUAAAACUUGUUAUAUUUUAUAUAAUUCUAAAUUAUAUACAUAGAUGAAUUAUUGCGUGUUUACACCAAAUUUGAAAAGAGAAGAAAAGUACAAAGCAAUGUGUUUACAAAAAAUUAAGAAACUAACAAAAAAGAAAAACUACAAAACCAUUUAAAUUAACUUAAGGAAAAAAAUGUGUUUUACACUAAACUCAUUUUCGUUUAAACUUUUAUUCCUAAAUAUAUGGUUUAAAAUAUAUUUAAAAGUAUAUUUUGAAUGGUUUCCAAAAACUUUUAAUUUUUUUAAAAAUAACUUACUUUUUAACUUACUUCAUAUAGUCGUGUUCUGAUAGUCUUUCAAUAGUCGUCUGAUAAUCAUCUGAUAUCAUUAAUUACUUGUUAUAAUUGUCAUAUUUAUGAUAUGAAAAAAAAAGUGUUAUGACUUGUUUUUUUAAAUUUUUUUCGUUAUCGGAUGCAAUUUUUCAAUAAAAAAAGUUAAGAAUACUUUAACAUGAAAUGUAAAUACUCGACAUGUAUCCUUUUUUUUCUUUAUCAAUUUUAUUGAAACCUUCAAUUUCAUAAAAUAAAUAAGACUAGAAUUAUAGACUAUGUUGCAUGGGGUAAGUUAUAGUCUUUACUUCAGGGAAAGAAAUUUGUUUAAACAUUUAAAUUGAUAACAAGUUUUGUAUGAUAUUAAGCUUAGGGAAAAAUCAUUUUUAGGCCAUAUAGUUUUAGAAGUAAUAAUUUAAUUCUUAUUCAUUUUUCGACUUUGUAACAAUUUAAAACGUAACUUACCAUAUUGAGUAACAAUUUACUUUCUUCUUUAAAUUGUAACAAUUUAAUUUUAAUAGUAAAAAUUAAUAUACAAAUUUAAUAAAAUUUAUUGUAUAAAUAAACUGAAAAAUUAAUUAAAUACUCAACAAUUUUAUACAAUAUACAAUGUCUACAUGAAAAAAAAAUAAAAAUUGAUAUCUAAUUUGAUUAUUUUUGUUUGGGAUAAAUUGUAACAUAGUUCAGAGUGGAAGAACUAAUUUGUUACACCUACUAAAUUCAAAUUCAAGAACAAAAUUGGCUUUAAAAUUUGAAAGCACUCAUGAUUAGUUUUAUGAAAGUUUAGGAACUAAAACUAUUUUUUUAAAACCGAAGUUUUAUUAAUCGUUUAAAUAAUUUUGUGAAACUCACAAUUUUUACAAAAUUUUAAGGCUUAGUCUUAUUUUUCUUUGAAACCUUUUUUAAUACAUGUGUUUUGUAAUUAAUUAUUGAAAAUGUGUAUGAAAAUUUUCAAAUGAAAAUUCAAGUAGGUAAAAUAUAAAAAUUAGAGUAAAAAUUAAUAACAUUGGAUAAGUUUAAUGUUAAAAUUAUAUAUACAUAUAUAAUUUUGAUGAUAUGAAAAUAGGAAACAUCCAAAGGUUGUGCAAAUUAGCCAGCACACAGACAAAAGAGUUCAAUUCAAAUUCAAAUUUGUAUACCAUUCUUAUUGUCCUGUCCCUAUUCAAUCUAACAUAAUUAUUGAUUUUUUUUUUUGUUGUUUCAUAACUUAUUCAACAAUACCCUAAUAAUUUAUAUCAAUUUUGAUUGAAGAGACAUAACAUACUCACAAAAUAAUAUAAGAUUUAUAGUUCCAAAAAACGAGUAUAAUUGAAUUGGUAUAAAGUUUGUACUAUCUUUUACGAAUUUACCCUUACAUCUAUACACAUAUAUGCUUCGAGUUUAAAAUCUUUCAUCCUUGAAUUAAAUUUUGAAAGAAAAAAAAAUUAUGACAUUUUUCAUUGAAAAUAAGAUGUGAAAAUUUUGUAUAGCUUAAUUAGUCUACAGAUGUGUUAACGAUGAAGAAGUUAUUCGAAUCUAUAGUUAUUAUUGGGACUUUGGUAUGUUUAACAAUAUAUAAUUGAAUUUUGUGUACUCCUAGUGUGAUGUCAUGUAUGGACCAAUUGUAAUGGACCUCAAUGGCAAUUGUAAUUUGAGUACGUUUUAGGUUGCAUUGUGGGUAUCAUUGUUUUCUUAUUGUUAUUGUCGUUGUUUAUGGUUAGAGUAACACUAACAAUGAUUCUAAUAUAUUCAUAAUUUUCCUAAUAGUGACUAUAUCUUUUCGUAGGUCCCAAGUAAUUUUCAAACGUAAUCAAAUUGAUCACUCUCAAGUCUCAACUUCACUAUUGGAUUGUGCUUGUUGAUUAACAAAUAAUGGGUUCCACAUUUCAUUAGGAUUGCAAGACACGUAUAAAUAAAAACAAAUAUAAUUAAAUGGAACCCACGAAACAGAUUAAGUUUUUGUGAAAAUAAAAACGACCUCAAUUGUUUUGUUUAAAAAAACAAACCUAUUUAUACAAACAAAUCUCUAUUUAACAUGUCUCACAUCAAAUAAGGGAAAAAGAAUAGUCUAUUGAUUCAUUAGGAAUGAAUUCACAUCAAAUAAGGGAAAAAGAAUAGCCUAUUGAUUCACUAGGAAUGAAUGAUUCGAUAACAUUGCACUUUCUUUUUCGAGUUAAACUAUCUUUACUUAAACAAAAUGAACUAUUUUUCUUUUAUAGAGUACAACAAUUAUGUGAUGAAAUAUUGAGUCUCUCAUCUCUACGAUAGAAGAUCAUGUCAAUUAUUGUGAAUUUUACAAAAUAAAUUAUUCACUUUAUUUAUAUAAACAUUGAAACUGUUUAUUAUAAUCUUUGUUAUUGAAAAAGAACAUUGUUGACUUUGACAUGUCAAGUAGUAUUAUUGAUCUAUCCACUAUCAAUAAGAAGACUAUUGCUAAAAAAAAUUACUUCCAUAUCUUUCCCUAUGCUCACAAAUCACUAGUUCUUGUACUCACAAAACCAAGCUGCCAAACGACCCAUACUAUACUUUCACCAAAACAAAAAGUUCAAGAAAGAAGAGAAGAAUGAAGAGGUAAAGUGAGAGGCUUUGUUUAGGAUUCCCAUUUGGUAGCAUUGGGAAGGUAUCUGGUAAAGCCAUAUGGCAGUUAUCUCCAUUGAAAUAUACUCUUCUUGGAAAUGCCCAACCAUUGCUUAAUGUGAAUGAUUCCAAAUCUUUCUCAAGAAGAACAUCUGUCGUCACAUACCCCAUAUUGCUCUCAGUUGACUGCACAAGCUCUGUGUUGAAAUCCUCUAUGCCCCAAAAGAGGGCCAACUCAUCUGCAAACACGCAACAAAUCCACAAAAUUUUUCUCAGUACUUUCUUUUUCAUGUAAACCUGGUUUGAUAAAGUUGUUCAACCGGAUCAAGGCGUUAUGUCGAAAUGAACAUUUGCAGAAGAAGAAUUGUGUAAUGUACCCCCAAAUCUGAAGGAUGGAAGUUGCGAUCUAUUGAAACUAAAUGCUUCUGUUGAUUGGCUAAAUCCUGGAUGCUGCACUAGGAUGUUCCAGUUUGAGUAGUUUCUGUUAUAGUUGUAGUUGGAAACUGUGAGUUUCACUCUCCAAUGGUUGAUAUAGUUUGUCUUAACAUGCCAAUGCACUCGAACCGGGCACAUGUGAUCUGAGCACCGUACGGAGGAAAGAUUAGUAGCAGAAUCCGUGGAUGACAACUGGUAUUCGUCUCUGAUGUCAAGUUAUAAGAAAAUAAAGUGAAAAGAGGGAAGAAGGAAUUCUCUUUAUUAGGAAAGAUAUCAAUACAAGAGAGGGCGGUUUGAUUUGGCAUCUACAAACAACACUAGCAAAAACAGUAACAUUAUAUCCAUAUGCUAUGCUGCCCUGCACCAAUUUUCACCCUUGCGCUUGAUCUGACCAUAUGUUUAAAAGUCUUCUCUUUGAAAGUCAUGCCACAAGUUGAUCUUAGGGUAACAGAAGUAUGCUGAUGAUUAAUGAAUGUCACAAGCUAACCAAAAAUUCUUUGGCUAAAGCAUGACAGUAAAAAACCAAGUUGAGCAAAUACCUUGUACAUUGAACAGAACUUUUGCUUGCUUUUCUGCAUCCACAGCUGCAUGAAGGGCAAGGUGUGAUGGAGGGAUUGUAAAACGCUGAGAGUGAGACACAACAGACUGGUGUCUUGUUAUCCACAAAUAUGGAGUAAGUACAUGUUGAUUUCCAAGUUCCUGCAAAUAACAGUAGUCAAAUUUUGGCCUUUAAAUUUUGGGUGAAGUUUUUCUUAAGAAAAAAGAUAUGGACUUUUUUAUUAAAAAAAAAAAAAAAAAAAAAAAAAACCUUAAGACAAACGACCCUUUAUUGAGAAAAAAAAGGGAGAACACAAGGUUUAAGUGCAUUCCAAAAAUAACUCACAAAAGAAAAGAUCACUAAAGGAAGAGCCUCCAAUUCUAUAAAAUAACACCUAAUGAGUAAUUGCAAAACAAACACAUCACUUGAAAUCUAGUAAGAUACCAGGCAUUACUUGGGUUGCCCCUUUUCAAGCCUCUAAACACUAUGGUUCCUCUCCCAAGAUUUCACAACAAUAAAGAAAACUCUUGGCAAGCAAUGAGAAACGGCCCUACCCACGAGAUAUCCCUUCAAUGGUAUGUGUUUCAUAGAAUUUGAAUUUGAAUUUAUAUAUGUUUCAACUUACUAGAACUUGAAAUUAUAUUUGGUAUGCAAGUGUGUAUAUGAGGAGUUGAAUCUAUAAUUUGUAUGUAUGUUUGGCUUUGUUAAUCCCACAUACUACAUAAACUCUGAUUUGUGAAUUUGCAGGACCAUGCCAUUCUUUUAGCUUUCAAGCAAUAUCCAUAGCUAAAAACAACAUUUUCUGUAGCAUUGCAUUGACAUUUAAAGUACUUACUGAAAACCUGAACUUCUCUUUUGCCAUCAAUUACAGAAGAAAUAGUUGGACUAGAGUCCAAAAACGGGCUGCAAGUGUAACCAGGACCAGGUGCCAUGAGAGUAAUAUUGACGGGUGGUUGCUCAUUGCCAUCUUCGUCCGUGCUCCCCACUGAGAUCUCAAACGAAGAGAAAGACUUGGAAGGAUCCACAGCCCAAGCAGAAAGAACCCCACUGCGGCAACAACCUUCCGACCUGUUCUCCGGUGAUGCCUCCGGCAUGAGAUCAAGAAUGACAGGGCUAUCCUCACAGGAAUGUGGGAUGUCAAAUUUGAACAACGAGCAAUUCCCCUGUUCGGUUGCAAAAGCUCCAUUCAUUGACCAGAUGACUUCACCCCUCGUCCAUGUCCACCCCAACUUCCAACCUGGAUUCUCAACAUGCCGGAACUGAUAGUAGUUUUGGACAGUAACUCUCCCCUGAGAAUGACAAGUUGGCCAUAAAGUUCAUAGCUUUCCUAUCUUCCAAAAAAACCCAAAUGAACAAAACCAAUCAAAAUUGCAAUUACACUCUACAGCUUUAAGUAAUUUAUAACUCUGUUGGGUUUCAUAGCUCCAAUAACUCUACAGAAGAAUGCUACGAAAGAACAAAAGUAGAGAUCUCUACAUGAAUAGUAAUGAAGAAAGAGACAUGAUAACUUGUCCCAUUGGUUGGACUGAAUCCAAUCAAGUUGUUUGUUUUGUGCAGUGAAGAUUUCUAAGAUGGAGUGCGAGAAUGAUGGAUUGAAUUUUACAUAGUUGACAUAAUUGCUAGUCACUUCCAGCGAGAACUCACCUAUCCAAAGGACCUUGAAAGCACACAAAAACAGUCAGAUUACAUUUUACCAAUCUUUGGGCGAAUUUGUUUCUCUAAAGAAAGAUAAACUCCUGGCCGGUUAAGGAUUUAAGGUCUAGUUUAGGGUUAGUGUUCUCAUUUGUUGCUUCUAAUGGGCUAAUAAUGUUACAGAGUUUGGUGGAUAAUUGCUCAAAUUAGAAGCUCAAGCGUACUAAAUCAACAAAUGAUUUUCACCAUUUGGCAAAGUAGAAGCAUUAAACUCACCACAUAUCCACGAGUGGUCCAAGUUUGAAUAUCAUAAGUAAUGGUAAUGUUUCCAUUAGGAUCCAAGGGAUCGUAACAAUCUGCAGAAGAAACACAUGGUUGAAAAACUUCAAGUUAUGAAUCAAACAGCAAAAACAAAAGCAUACUAUUCCCAGAAAAUUAAAAUUCAAAGAAGGCAAGAAUGAUGCCUGCCACAUAACAGCACAUAAUAGAAGCUACCAAAAACAAAGAAAGAAAAGCAGGAGAAGGAUUUGGUUUCAUUUCCCUCAGCCACAUUAAACUAAACAACCGGAGACAAUUCAAAGGCUGACCCAAUUGAGAUUUUGUUUGUUUGAAUAAGAAGAAACCUUACCCUAACCCAAAAGAGAUUUAGAUUCUUGAAAACUCCAUCCCCAUCUUAUCCAUCUAAUAUUGAAACAAAAAAUUCUAGGAAACAUCGAUUGGUCUAACCUUGGGAGAUGUCAAGUGUCGAGAUCGGAACUCCAUUUCAGCAGGCGACAGAAGAUGUUUGAAAGGUGAUGCUUGUCGUGUUUCAGCCGGUUGAGAUGGGGUGUUUUGAAUAAACAAAAGCUGUCAAAAAAAAUGGAAGAAAAUAGGAAAAUGGGGUUUGAGUUUUGAUGGGGAAUUUGAAGGAAGAUGAAUAAAUGAGGGAAAUACAAAGUGUGGGUUUUGUUUAUGAUUGCUAUGUGUUUGUUGGGUUUCAUGGAACGAAUGGUUACUUGUGAUUGAGAGGGAGAUAAAGGCCAUUAUGUCCUAUGCUGCUGUGUUAUCGAGUCCCAUGCAUGAUGAGCAUACUUCUCUUGUAUCCUUGGCUGACAAAACAUAGAGCCAACGUAAUGAAACAGGAGAGUGAGAGUCUAAUGUCGUUGUAAAAUAAGAGUACUUUUCCAAGUGUUUAUAAAAUACUUAGAAAGACUUUUGAAAAAGUGACCAGAGUAUUUAGGUUGUUUAUCUUUAUGAUAUCAAAUGAAUCCGUAAGUGAACAUGAACAAGACCUACGAAUACAAUGCAAGGCCAUUCAAGUUAUGAUAAAAAAAACAACCCUAUUUUAAAUGCUAAAACAACUGUAAGGGUUUGGAUUUGGCUGAUUUUGAGCCCAAUUUUGGAUUUAAAAUUAAAUUAAUCUAUUUUUAAGUAUAUUUUUAUUUAAUUUGAUUCAAUUUAUUUUAAUAAAUGUGAGAUGGCCAAACUUGGAGUUCAAUCCUCACCUCACAUGACAUAAUUUGAUGGAAAGAACUACUUAUGUUAUUUGAUGGGUGGGUGACACAUGUAAAUUUGUAAUUGGCCUCAAAUUUGCUAAUCAUUAAUCUAAAUUAAUAACGUGACAAUUUGUGAUUGACCCAAAUUUUUUAAUCAACAACGGUAAAAAAGAAAAUAAUUGAAUUUUAUUUUGAUGGGUGGAAACUUUUGUUACUUUGUUUAUUUGAAAAUAAGUUUGUUAUUUUAAUACAUAUGAAUUACAUUCUUGAAUAAAUUUAAAUUUUAAAAUAAAAUACAAAUAGAAAUGAUUAUCAAAUUUUAUCGAAACAAUUUUAGUAUGAUCAAAACCACGAUAAAAUUCAUUUAUGUUUUAGUAUCAAACUAUUUAGUCAAAUUUAUGGUUCAAGUGCUAGUAUGGAAGUGAUUUUUCAAAUGGUUAAAAUGGUUCAAAAUCACUUUAAAACAAGUUUUAAUAACUUAAAACUAAUUUAAUAUCGAAUAGAUUUUACUAUUUUAUUGUUGGAUUUUAGAUACUAAAACUAGUGGUAGGUAAACUAUAAACAUAUUUCCAUUUACAAUAAUAGUGUUAUCAAUGUUUAUUCAAUAAAGUUGAUAUUAAAUAUAUGUGAAUUGCUUACUUUGUAUUAGAAAAUCUUAAAUUCAAUAAACUAAGAUCCAUGGCUAUGAGUAUAAAUACUUGAACUUUAUGUAGAGACAUAAAAGUAUAUCAAGUUUGAGUAGAUAGCCAAAGUGGUUUAUAUAGUAUACUGAUAAAGUUGUGUAUCUUAUUAUGUGAAUAGUAUUAGAUGUGGCAUGGCUUGUAAUUGUUACAAAAACUGACUUGUAAAGUGUUACAAAAAAUCUGAUCUUAAUUCGUUCAUGUAAAGACAUGCAAAUGAGGACGUUCUGAUGCAAAAUAGUUAGUAUAAUCAAACCAAUAAAUUUAUCACUCUUACUUUAUAACGUCCUUUAAAGUUUAAAACUGACUAUUUCAAUAGGAUGAACUAAGUAUUUGACUUUAAUCUUAAGCUAACUAUGAACUUUUGUUUAUUCGGGAUUAUUCUUUGAUCUGCAUGGGUGAGACCUGAUAAAUAGUUGGAAACAUAGGCUGCAAGAUGAAGAUUACUCUUAGAGGAUAUAGUAGAGAGGUUGUUUCCUUAAGUGUUAACUUCAGGUCUUGAACAAAAGAUCUCAUCCUCUUAGAGGUCCAAGAGGUAUUCAGUUUUGUGGAUAACCACAAACCAAUAUCUCAUUAGAGAAUCAAUUAGAACUUUAAAAACAAUAUAUACUUACGGAGGUAAAACUAGUGUAUUUAAUCCAACUGUAACUACGAACAAAGGGUUGACUUAUUAAUGAUGGUUAUAUCGAGUGAAUAGAAAUAUAGUUAUAGUGGAAAGAGCGGCUACAAAUUUUAAUGAAGUGUCCAAGUAGUUAACGACAGUUGGUUAACUAAGUUAAAAAAUUUAACCAGUUAAUCUCAAAUAGUUGAAGUUCAUGAUCUAUAGGUCCACUAGUUAGAUUCAUACCGAGUGUAAUGAAUGAAUUUGAAACCUUUCACAAUCUGGUUUUAGAGAAAAACAUUGAAUAUGGAUGCUAUAUUUAAUCCAAUGUAUGAUUGAGGAAUAAACCUAUAAAGAGAGGAAAAGUAUAAUUAAAUAUCGAAAUCUUAAAUAGAGAUUCAAAAUCGGUCGAGAUUAGUGAAAUUUAAUAUUGGAAAUUAAAACCAAAUUAAUUAAAUUGCUUAAUUAAUUAAUUGAACUAAUUUUGGUUUAAAUUAAAAAAAAAAAGUGAAAUUGGAUAUUUGCAAAUUUUGGUUUAGUCAAAAUGUUAACCAUUUAACCAUAGGUGUUGUUGAUAUAUAAUUAAAUUUGACUUUAACCACUAGCUUAAGUUUUUGGAUGAAUUGUUAGUCUAAUAUGGUAUCAAACGGCCCAUAAGUAAAGAGUAUUGGUAAUAUAUAAUUAAAUUUAGGGAGCUGUGGUUUAAUACGUGGGUAUCAAAUUUUGAGCAUGGACUAUAUUAGGGUAAACAUAGAGUAAUUAGUGUAUUAAUCCAAUCUACAGUGUUUGUAUGAGUAAGCUACUACAUAGCUUAGGUGUAACCUUGAUGAUCAAACACUAAAUCCCACUUAAUUUCAUGAAGAUCAAGUGUCAAUCUCUCAUGAAUACAUACUUGCAUGACAUUUGCAUAUACAAGUUUGAAGUUUAUUGUAAGAAAAAAAAAAUACAAAACAAUAUUCUUUCUUUCAACUUCCUUCCAAAAUUCAGCUAUCAAUCAAGGAACUCCACCAUCCCCAUCCCCCUCCCAUUCUAAGGCCGGAGGACAAGACGGUUGUUCACACAGUGCUCCUGAUCCAGAUUUAACUAAGAGUUGCACCAAUUUGGAGCUUCAAAGGUAACUAUUUUAUCAAAUACCCUAUUUUACAAGCUUUGGAAAUGCAUGUUUAAUCUUUAUAAUUAACUACAAUGAAAGUGAAUAACAAUCAAUUCGCUUAAUCAGCUAAAUAGCAAAUACUUCAAAAACAGAAAAUGGCAGAAUAAUAGAUGAGAUAUUCAGGUUGGAAGUUCAAUUCCCUAUCCAUGAUACAGAACAUAUAACACUUUUUUCAGACAAAAGAACGCAGGAAUAUGAGGAUUUAACCCUCCAUUAGGAAAAAAAAAACAUGUACUUCAUCUCGUAAAAGUAAGCUGGAUUAGAAAUGUACUUUAUGUCGUCAUUUAUACUUAUCUGUUAGCCAGAAAAAACACAAACAAAUAUCCCUCUAGAAAACAAAACUAAACAUUAUAUAUGAAAAUUACUGUGGGAAGAAGGCUGUAAAGACAAAAGUUCAACUACUAACCAAAACUAUAAGUUUGGAGCAUUAACAAGUCCAUGAAUGUGACCUUUUCAUUAAAGGCUUCAUCUGCUUAUCUUCCUCCAAGGACACCAUGCCUGAAUGAGAAGGGUCUUCCAACAUCAUCUUUGCAACUAGGUAACCUGCAAUUGACCACGUCUGAAACUUUCGUGCCUGUUUCCCGAUGUACCGUCCAAGUGUCCCAUCAUAAUAUUCUGGCCAGCUGUCUUUCAGUAGCCUGGAUUCAGCCAGUUCGAGUGCACGUCUUGCAAUCUGCGGUCGCCCAGUCUUGAUACAUGCAGCUGUUAAAAGCCAUAGGAGAACUGCAAGAAUAUUGCAGCAAUGUCAAUAUCUUUGUUCUAGUGCAACUUCGGAGUCUACUUGUCAUUAGGACUAAGCCUCCUAAACUUUUUUUAUAAUCAAAGUCACUUGUACAACCUAUAGAACCGAUCUAGUUUAAGUAAGGUCGUGACAAAGCCUCCUAAUUUGCAUACUCAAGUUGUAAAUGGGAACAGAUGGGAACUAUAAAUUUGCAAGCAAUUAGAGGUAGUAGAGAUGUUUACCUGGCCAAGAACCACCGUUAUGGUAACUCCAUCUUGUAUUUUUUGGGUCACAUCCAGUUACAAUUCGCCACUCGUGGCUUUCAAUGGCAGGGUAACAAACCUUUAACGGCAUUUCUCCAACCAGCUCUUCCCACCGCGAUUCAAUAAGAUCCAUAAUAGCAGUGGCUUGUUCUGGUGUUGCCAAGGCAGAAAGAAUUGCAAUGCAAUUUCCCAAGCAAAACCAACGGAAGUCCAUUCUUGCAGGGCUGACAUUUCCAAUGAAGUAUCCACCACGAGUUGGCAUGAAGUCAAAAAUCCAUUCAGGAAGAGAAUCAGGUAUUACGUUGAACUUGUUCAAAGCAGUAUGAGAGUAUUCUUCAGUUUUAUAUCGGUAUAUAUCAUUUAGUUGCUUUAGGUCGAUCCAAAAGUAAGUUCUCAUGUGAUAGCUCAUGGCGUGAAGCCGUUUUGUUAUUCUUUCUACAAAGUCCUUCCCCUCAUGGUCUUGCUUAAGCAAAAUCAAAGCACACCUUAAAGCCAUAAAGAAAAGUGCCUGAAUUUCAAUUGGGUAGCCAUAUACACCCUGAAACCAAUAGUAAAAGCAGUAAGAAUGAAGAAAUGAAUAAAUAAUAAUAAUGAUUUCAAGACUGCACAGUACAUACAGCUCAUUUCGUUAGGCAAACCUAAUAUUGUAGUGAAACCUUUUGUCUCCCAAAAAGUAAGAAAAAAAAAAUGUACAUCAAACGGAGGCCGCAAGACGAUGUAAAUAAUUUUGGUUUAAAUCUUAUUUUGAUUUUUAAACGUUCAAAGUUACUCUACUUUGUUUUCCUGAAUUUUCAAUGUAGAUAAUUUUGGUUUAAAUUUUAUUUUGACUUUUAAACAUUCAAAGUUACUCUAUUUUGUUUUCCUGAAUUCUAAAAAGCUGUAGUUGUUUUAUAUAAAUGGGGACAAAAAUAAUAGCAAUAACCUAAAUAGCUACUUUUUUUAAAGACAACGAUCGCUCUAUCUAAAAUCUAAAAAUUAAAUAGGCCUUUUGAAAGUACUAAAAUGAAUCAGAGAAAUCUGAAAGUUCAGAACCAAAAGAGGAGAGGAUUUGAACUAUGAUUAGAUCAUUCUAUUAACAGUUCAAAUGGUCUCCCGAGUGAAUUUCAGAAGUCAAGCUUCAUGUUAGUUUCAUUAUUAAAUAUUAAAAGGGAAAGGUUGAAAGAACCCACCAUUCGUCGAUCAAUCAUGCAGCAUCCAUCGGCACAGAGAAGGGUUGGGAAUGUGUCAAAACCUUCUGAAAGACACAGACUCAAAAUAAGGCGCAUUCCCUUUUGGCAUUCUGGUAGUUCAGCCAAUGAACUGUCACCAGUGGACUUUGUGUAUGCUCUAAGCAGUAUAAUCCACCAAAAUCCAGAGUCAACAGGAGCAACUCUUCCUAUUGCACUCUCUCCAAAAUCUGCAAUUAAAGUUUCAGUGUUCCUCACUGGAUCAUGAAGAACUUUGAAACUAGCAGGCAUCACCCCUUCUCCAAGCUGGAAUCUAUCAAUCUUUUUCUCCCAUGACUGAAGCCGAAGAGUUUUUAGGAUAAAGUUCUUUACUAUUUCAGGCUCCCCAUUCAUUAGAAAAGCAAACGCACUUGGGACGAAGUCUCUUACAAACACCUAUGCAAACAGAAGAAGUAAAUCCAUAUGUUAGCUUUUGCUCUCGGUUCAGAUCAAUGAAAACCCCUUAACUAAAAAUUAAGUCAUUAGCGCACAUACUGAUACUUGGUAUACAUAAGUUCAUUUCUAAAUAUUUAUACAUUUCUGUGGUUUUCAUGCAAAAAUCCCCUUUUAGUUGAUGAUGUUUACGCAUUUAUGAUACAACGUUUUAUCUCAAAAGAUACAAUGUUUGUGCAUUUAUGAUUCAAACCAACUCAAAUAGUUUCACACAUUAAUGCAAAGGAAAUAUCAAGUCAAUAAUGCUUCAACAUCUAAAUUUACUUACUCUAGAAAAGUACAUCAGUGUAUGACAUGAGUUACGGCGUUCAACAAGUGGUCAACGUAUGCUCACUAAGUUUCAAAGAGUAAACAGAAAACGAACGUUCGAAAUACUAUUAACGGAAGUACUCCUGUGAGUAUCAUUAUUGUUGUGAGAAUCUAUAGAGAUAUCAUGUUUCAAAGUUUCAACAGAUGAAAUGUUUUCUGAAUGACAAAUUGAUUCUCAAUGCAAUAGAAUACAAGCAAGAACAUAGACACUACUCUGCAUUAUUAUAAACACAACAAAACAGGGAUUGAUCAAUGAAUGCAAGUAAGCAACUAUUCAUAAAGUGUUCGUUCUUACUUGAUCAUAGUUAAGAUUUUCUUCAGUACUGUCCAACGCCGCAAUAGUACCAACUGGCUGGCCACGGAAAUAGACCAACGAACGCCUCAAAGCUUCCCAAGCUUCUGCCACCAUAGGAUGCUGCUCGAAUCCAGUGUGUGAUCUUGGAGUAUUGAAAUCCGAUUUUCUACCCGGCGAUGGAGAAUGAUCGUAAUUAUCACUCAAUCGACCAAAGUUUUCUGAAGAAACUCUCGAUGAUAACCGUGGAGAAAAACCAAUCGCCAAAUCCCCAAGCGAUCUUUCAUCGAACGACCUCUGUCUCUCCAUGUUCAACGGCCUUGGCCUAUCCAAUAGCUUCGAAAACUCACUUUCUUCAAUCUCAUCCACUGUGAAUAACGUAUCAUUGUUUUUAACAUUCCCAUUCUGGGGCAUGUUCGAAGAGGAAUUCGACAUUUCUGAAGAACCUAUACUCUCUGCAAUCAAUCUCAAAAUGAUUUCUCAGGCAACAGAGAAUGGAUUAAAAACAGAGAAUCAAAAACCAAAACCCCAAAUGAAAAACAAUCAUAACGCAAACAGAUGAAGGAAAAAAACCCAUUUCGAAAACUGUUACAUUGCACUGACAAACCCAACAACUUACCAGCGAAUUUCUCAGAUUCCUUUAGAAAACGCAAGCUCCAUGCAAGAUGAAAAAACAAAAUGGGAAGGGGCAAAGCGCCACCAAAGAAGCUAAUAAGCUUCCAUUUUAAAAUGUAGAAAGAGCAACCGCCGUAAUGGGGGUGGUAAAAAGCUCAGUGAGAAGAUACACACAUGGAAAUGGAAAGAGUAGCAUAAACAGGGAUAUGGGAUGAUUUCAUGAAGAAGGAAAAGGAGAGAAACCCAGAGGUAAAAAGGCACUGCGUAACAAAGGCAGGUGAAGAAACAGAGAAAACGGUGAGAAGGAGGUGAUGGAGAAGGAGAAGGUGAAAGGUCUGUGAAGUGCAGCAAUAAUGGAGGAGUCGGUUUUGAGGAGGCAGAGGAAAAGGGCCAAAGGGGCCGUUUGUUAGGACACGUGUACGGUUGAAAGAUCCAAAGUUGGUCACUCCUUUGCUUUUGCCUUCUCUUCUCCAACUCUUUCUUUUUUCCUAUUUUGAAAAUACGUUAACUUAUAACAAAAAUAUAUACAUAUAUAUAUAUCAAUUUGUGUUCGUAGCCUAAACAAGGUUGAAUUGGUUAUUAUAAUCCGUAGUUACAAUAGUUGGUAGGUCUAAACAACGUGUAUUUGAAUGCAUAUUGUUUUUAUCUAGAUAGAAAAGUUGGAGCAUCGAUUUCUUAGAUUUUUACAAGGACUUUCGUACAUUAUUCAUUUUAUAAAACCAUUUACACAUGUACAAGUCGUUUGGGGUUUUAUUUGUUGUCCUACUUUAGUUUUGAGGUGGAAAAGGAAAGAGCAAGCAAUUAUGGUGAACGUUGGAGUGAGUUUAUGAACCGUCCAUUUUGAUUGGAUUUGUAACCCUUGGUUUCAAUAAAGUAACCUCUAAUAUUAAAUGCACCAAGUAUUAUACUAACCAUUAACAAAUCAUUUUGGAUCCUAAGUUACUCAAUGGUAACAUGAAUGUGGUUAUAGGAUAGUGAUGAUUUAUUUAUGCCGAUGGUCUAUAUCACACUUAUACACAAAAGAAUACACUAUUCGAUGUUGCUCCUUCAAUCAAGUAGUUAUAACAAAUGACAAAAUUGAAAUUAUACCAAAAGAUGUAUGAACAAAAUAGGUAUAUACUUGUAAAAAUCCUAAAUAUAUUUAAUACAUGAUCGUGUAGUGAGAUGAGAUUCAAAUUGGUUUGUUGAUCGUCUUUAAUAUAUAUUUUAUCUUAGUUAAGUUUAGUUUGAUAUAUAUCUUUAUUCCUUUAAAUUUUAUGGUCUUAAUUUUUCUUAAUAGUUUCAAAACGUUUUAAAACAAGCGAGUUUAAUUUGAGAAUUUUGAAAAAAAUUGAAGAUGUCUUAAACAAGUAUGGAAGUUCAAGGGAUACUAGAUAACUUUAGAUAACUUUUUAAAUGUGUGUUGCACAUUAAAACCUCGUUAAUAUAUUUUUUUUGUAAAAUGAAUAAAUGGUAGAUUUUUUUUUUUUUUUUAAAUAAUGUAAAAAUUGAAACAUAGGUAAAAAGUAAGUUUAAUGCAAAACUAUUGACAAAAAUAAAUAAAAGUAAGUUUAAUGCAAAACUAGUAAGUUUAAUGCAAAACUAUUGACAAAAAUAAAUAAAAGUAAGUUUAAUGCAAAACUAUUGACAAAAAUAAAUAACUUUAGGUGGAGUCGUCUAUAAAAGUAGGAGUCGUCUACAAAAGUAGGGUUAAGUUUUUUAAAUUUAAUUUGUGAUCAAAUCCAUUUUUGGUUUUUUUUCCUUUGGUCAUAAAUAUUAAAAAAUUUAAUUCAAUUAUUAAAGUGUAUUAGUAGCUUUAAGUGUUAUUAUAUGUUAUUAUAAGUGUUAUUAUAUGUUAUUAUAAGUGUUAUUAUAUGUUAUUAUUAUUUGUUAUUAUUGGUUGAGUAACUUCAACUUCUCUAAAUUAUUAUUAUUGUUAUUUUUAUUUGUUUAAUAUAUUUUUUAACAAUAUCUUUAAAUUAAAAAUUUAUAGAAAAUAAUAUGUAUAAUUUUGAUUAAAAAAUCAUUAAUUUAAAUUAUAAAAAAAUAAAUUUAAUAAGAAAAAUGGAAGAGUAAAUAUUUAAAUAUUUAAAUAUAUAUAGAAGAGAAAAAGAAAAAUAAUAAAUUAAUUUAGUAAAAGAAAAAUAUUUUUAGAAUUUGAACUUUUAAUAUAUAUAUAUAGGAAGAGAAAAAGUAAAAUGAGAAAAUAAGAAAGUGUAGAGUGUAAGAUAUAUAUUAUAUAUCACAAGGUAAAAAAUAGAAGAUAGAAGAUAAAAAAUAGAAGAUAGAAGAUAUGAGAUCUACUACAUAUCUAUUUUUUUCUAUAACACCAUUCAACUUUUUAAUUAUGUCAUUGUAUUUAUAAAUUUUAAAUUACUCCAUGAAAAAAGUAUAUUAUAUUUUAUAUUUACAGCUUCAAAAAAAAAAUAUUAACAAUUACAUUAAAAUUACGAAAAAAAGUGAUAAACAAAUUAAUUUAACAAAUAGCUUUAUGAUUACCUCUACCUGCAUAACAAUCAAUUUCAAUAAUUUAAUGUUUAUCAUUUUUUGUUUUAUAUUUUCAAUUGUGGUUCUAGGACUUUAUGGUUUAAAUUAUUUUGAAAAUGUUCCAAAUUUUGUAUUAGUAUAUGCUUGAUUAAGGCUACAAUUUUAAAGUAAAAAAAUUAUUGAUAAAUUUACAAAAUAAUAUAAUGCAAAAAAGAUAUACUUAUUAGUAUUACUUUAUAAAUUAAUUUCAUGUUUGAGUUGACACAAACAAUAAUAAGUAGAUCAAAUAGAAAACAACAGAAACUUUGGAUAUUUAUAUUAAAAUUAUAAAUCAUUUUCGAAGUUAUAUGUAUAUAUUUUUUUUGAAGUUAUGGAAUAAUUCUAUAUAUCUUUUUUCCUUCAAAAGCAAAGAGCAUUGUUUAAAGAAAAACAAUUGAAACUAAAAACUGUUUUAGAAUUAAUUGAAAAUGUAUUUUAAUUAAUAAAAGUUGAUUAUGUGAAUAUUAAUUAAUUUUAAAACAAUAUCAAUAUGCUAUAUUAGUCCUUUCCAACCAUAUUUAUGAAAUUUUAUCAAAUCAAUAGAAUAAAUUAUAAUUUAUAAAAGAAAAAUUAUUAAAAUUGAUAAAAUGGUUAAAAAUACUUAUAAAUAAUUUUGAUAAUUACGCUAUAUUUAAAAAUGUUCCUUAUUAAAAUCAUACAAAAUAAAUUUCUAUUUAAAAUUUUCCAAAAUUUUAUAAUAUAAUGGAAACACAUUCGUGCGUAAAGGAUUAGAAGAAAGUAUCACAUCCUCAUUUGAAAUAAAAGCAUGUUAAAAGAAAAGGUGAUGAAGUUAAUGAUAGUUAUUAACUUUAAGUGGUGCUUUUGUUGUUUUUUUAAGAAUUUAAUUGUUGUUAUUAGAGCAACAACACACUUGGGAUAUUUUAAUUUUAGUAUUUGUUUGAAUGUUACCUUAUGCUACUUUAAUUAGGGCUUAGACACUUGACCUCAUUUGUUUUUAUUGGAAUACUUAAAGACUUUUCCUCCCCCCUUUUUAGGAUGAAUAUUAGAAUGGUUGGACUUCAAAACAAACUCAAUCUCAUUUUGUGUAUUUUCUGUCUAAUUAUUCAAUCCAGGAUAAAAUUAGUUUUGAAAUAAGAAUCUUUUAUACAACAAUUUUGAGAACAAUGUAAAAUAUCAACGUCUACUCAACAUCCAAUUAAUUCGUUCAUAGCUUGCAUAAUAUAUUUGAUACAAGAUCUCGUUCGUUUAGAUUUGGAGAUGUGGUCCACAUUUCUUUUGAGCUCAGCCGAUCUUUUUAAAGAUCUUAGAACAUCUUAUACGAAAAAAUAUAAAAGAAAAAAAAAAGCAUUAGAUCGUCUUAGAACAUCUUAUACGAAAAAAUAUAAAAGAAAAAAAAAAGCAUUGUAGAAAGAGAAGAAAUACUAUGAAAAGAAUAACAUGGAAUAUUUGAAAAAACAUAUUUGGAGGGUUAGGAAAUCGGGCAUAGAAAUAAAAAAAAAAAAAAGACUCAUCCACGAUGGCCUACAAUCAAAUUUACGAUGUAGACCCAAACGACAAUAGAUUGACUAUUAGAUAUGCAUAUGGUGAACGUUUGAGUGCUUGAGUUAGAGAGAGAUCGAGACCGAACAAAAUGUAGGCGAACGAUGACGAAAAAAUGGAGAGAAAGGAAGAUAAUAUUCAAAUUGAUAGUUGGUUGGAUAGGUUUAGGUUGAGGUUGUUUAAACCUUUGAAAUGUUUAAAAAUAUUAUAAGUUUGGAUCUUUCCUAUCCUCGUCAUUACUUUAUUAGUUUUUUAUUCUUAAUCUUUGUUUAUUAGUUUUUUCUUUUAAAAUUUGGAUGGUUGUGGUAAAAAAUAUAUAUAAUAUAACCUUGUUAAGAUAAUUCUAAUUUAUGGAAGAGAAUUUGAUCCUAUUAAAAACAAUUUUAAAUUAUAGAGUAAAUAAAGAUUAGAGUUAUUUAAAGUAAUGGAAGUAAGGAGAGAAGCAAUGAAUUAAAAAAAAGAUGAAUAUGUGCAUAGAGAAUAGAGAUAGAGUCUUUCAAAAUCAGAGUUCGAAAUGAACGGUCAAGAUGGAUCCAAUCACCGACCACCACAUGGCUCCCCAUACAUCACCCCCACACUGGACCUCUCCUUUCAAUCUCCCUCCCGCUAUAAAUGCACUCAACUCACGCCCCCAUUCCUCUUCCUCUUCACCCUUUCAAACAGACAAAUCCCCAAAAUUCGAACUCAAUGACCUCUUACCGAAACAGAACCACAGCCGAUUCAAUUCUCGAUUCUCUUUCCCUCAACCCUCCUCCCUACCCCGUCCUCCUCCUCCUCGCCGUCGUCUCCAUUUUCCUCGGCGCUUCCUGGUGGCUCUCCUACGAGUCUGCCGUUGAGGCUGCCGAGGAUCACAUCAACUGGAUUCUCUUCGCCACACCUGUUCUCCUCAUCCUUCUCGUCCGAUUCCUCUCCUCUCUCGAUCCCACCUUCUUUUCUUCCUCCCCUUGGGACCGUCGCCGCCGCACCCAUCAUAUCCCCGCCGAAGGAACCUCCCCCUGGGGCGUCGCUGCCUUCAUCCUGCUUUUACUCGUUCUCCUGCAGUUUCAGUCUUCCUUCCGUGAGAGCUGGUCCAUUUGAUGAUGGAACUUUGAUUUUGAAGAUGUAUAGAAGAACGCGAUCGCUGCUCUGUAGUUGGAGUAGAGCGAUGGAGGUAUGAUUACUUUCUGUUGAUUUUUUUGUUUUUGUUUUUGAAAAGGAAAUCAGUGUUGUUUAUAUAUAUAGUGAAUGUCUCUGGUGUAUUAGUUGAAGCAAGUCUUGUUAGUUUGUUUUGAUUUUACUUUUAGGGCUUGAAUGAACAAUGAAGGUGAACUUGUUUUUCUUUUAUCAAAUAAAUAUAUGAAUACUCUUGUUUGACACUGUACACUUUUAUUCUUUAUUUUACUUAUUAUUAUUAUUUUAUUUUGUAAUUCGUGCAUUGCUUUGAAUUUAUACAUUUUGUUCAAUCCUAUGGAGAUUUCAA
rnacentral:lncRNA from 1 species